rnacentral:lncRNA from 1 species
AUUUUGAUGGUGCCCUAUUUAACGUGAAUGCGGCCGUCUCUAAAGCAUAACCCCCAAAUGAUAGCGGUAAAUCAGUAAGAGACAUCAUAGAUCGCACCAUAUCUAGUAAAGUAUGAUUACAAUGUUCGGACACACCAUUACGCUGUGGUGUUCCGGGUGGCGUGAGUUGCGAAACUAUUCCGCAUUGUUUCAAAUGUACACCAAACUCGUAACUCAAAUAUUCUCCUCCACGAUCAGAUCGUAGAAACUUUAUUUUCUUGUUACGAUGAUUUUCAACUUCACUCUGAAAUUCUUUGAACUUUUCAAAUGUUUCAGACUUAUGUUUCAUUAAGUAGAUAUACCCAUAUCUGCUUAAGUCAUCUGUGAAGGUGAGAAAAUAACGAUAUCCGCCACGAGCCUCAAUAUUCAUCGGACCACGUACAUCUAUAUGUAUGAUUUCCAACAAAUCUGUUUCUCUCUCCAUAGUACCGGAGAACGGUGUUUUAGUCAUCUUGCCCAUGAGGCACGGUUCGCAAGUACCAAGUGAUUCAUAAUCAAGUGGUUCCAGAAGUCCAUCAGUAUGGAGUCUCUUCAUGCGCUUUAUACCGAUAUGACCUAAACGGCAGUGCCACAAAUAAGUUGCACUAUCAUUAUCAACUCUGCAUCUUUUGGCUUCAACAUUAUGAAUAUGUGUGUUACUACUAUCGAGAUUCAUCAAAAUAGACCACUCUUCAAAGGUGCAUGACCAUAAAAGAUAUUACUCAUAUAAAUAGAACAACCAUUAUUCUCUGAUUUAAAUGAAUAACCAUCUCGCAUUAAACAAGAUCCAGAUAUAAUGUUCAUGCUCAACGCUGGCACCAAAUAACAAUUAUUUAGGUCUAAUACUAAUCCCGAAGGUAGAUGUAGAGGUAGCGUGCCGACCGCGAUCACAUCGACUUUGGAACCAUUUCCUACGCGCAUCGUCACCUCGUCCUUUGCCAGUGUUCGCUUAAUCUGUAGUCCCUGUUUUGAGUUGCAAAUAUUAGCAACAGAACCAGUAUCAAAUACCCAGGUGCUACUGCGAGCUUUGGUAAGGUACACAUCAAUAACAUGUAUAUCACAUAUACCUUUGUUCACCUUGCCAUCCUUCUUAUCCGCCAAAUACUUGGGGCAGUUCCGCUUCCAGUGACCAGUCUGCUUGCAGUAGAAGCACUCAGUUUCAGGCUUAGGUCCAGACUUGGGUUUCUUCUCUUGAGCAGCAACUUGCUUGCUGUUCUUCUUGAAGUUCCCAUUCUUCUUCCCUUUGCCCUUUUUCUUGAAACUAGUGGUCUUGUUGACCAUCAACACUUGAUGCUCCUUUUUGAUUUCUACCUCCGCAGCUUUCAGCAUUGUGAAGAGCUCAGGAAUAGUCUUAUUCAUCCCUUGCAUAUUAUAGUUCAUCACGAAGCUCUUGUAGCUUGGUGGCAGUGAUUGGAGAAUUCUGUCAAUGACGCAAUCAUCUGGAAGAUUAACUCCCAUCUGAAUCAAGUGAUUAUUAUACCCAGACAUUUUGAGUAUAUGCUCACUGAUAGAACUGUUCUCCUCCAUCUUGCAGCUAUAGAACUUAUUGGAGACUUCAUAUCUCUCAAUCCGGGCAUUUGCUUGAAAUAUUAACUUCAACUCCUGGAACAUCUCAUAUGCUCCAUGACGUUCAAAACAUCGUUGAAGUCCCGAUUCUAAGCUGUAAAGCAUGGCACACUGGACUAUCGAGUAGUUAUCAGCUUUGCUCUGCCAGACGUUCAUAACAUCUGGUGUUGCUCCAGCAGCAGGCCUGGCACCCAGCGGUGCUUCCAGGACGUAAUUCUUCUGUGCAGCAAUGAGGAUAAUCCUCAAGUUACGGACCCAGUCCGUGUAAUUGCUACCAUCAUCUUUCAACUUUGCUUUCUCAAGGAACGCAUUAAAAUUCAACGGAACAAUAGCACGGGCCAUCUAUCUACAAUCAAGCAUACAUAAGCAAGAUACUAUCAGGUACUAAGUUCAUGAUAAAUUUAAGUUCAAUUAAUCAAAUUACUUAAAGAACUCCCACUUAGAUAGACAUCCCUCUAAUCUUCUAAGUGAUCACGUGAUCCAAAUCAACUAAACCAUAACCGAUCAUCACGUGAAACGGAGUAGUUUUCAAUGGUGAACAUCGCUAUGGUGAUCAUAUCUACUAUAUGAUUCACGCUCGAUCUUUCGAUCUCAGUGUUCCGAGGCCAUAUCUGCAUAUGCUAGGCUCGUCAAGUUUAACCUGAGUAUUCUGCGUGUGCAAAACUGGCUUGCACCCGUUGUAGAUGGACGUAGAGCUUAUCACACCCGAUCAUCACGUGGUGUCUGGGCACGACAAACUUUGGCAACGGUGCAUACUCAGGGAGAACACUUUUAUCUUGAUAAUUUAGUGAGAGAUCAUCUUAUAAUGCUACCGUCAAUCAAAGCAAGAUAAGAUGCAUAAAAGAUAAACAUCACAUGCAAUCAAUAUAAGUGAUAUGAUAUGGCCAUCAUCAUCUUGUGCCUGUGAUCUCCAUCUCCGAAGCACCUCCAUGAUCACCAUCGUCACCGGUGCGACACCUUGAUCUCCAUCAUAGCAUCGUUGUCGUCUCGCCAAUCUUAUGCUUCCACGACUAUCGCUACCGCUUAGUGAUAAAGUAAAGCAUUACAACGCGAUUGCAUUGCAUACAAUAAAGCGACAACCAUAAGGCUCCUGCCAGUUGCCGAUAACUCGGUUACAAAACAUGAUCAUCUCAUACAGUAAAAUUUAGCAUCAUGUCUUGACCAUAUCACAUCACAACAUGCCCUGCAAAAACAAGUUAGACGUCCUCUACUUUGUUGUUGCAAGUUUUACGUGGCUGCAACGGGCUUAGCAAGAACCAAUCUUACCUACGCAUCAAAACCACAACGAUAGUUUGUCAAGUUGGUGAUGUUUUAACCUUCGCAAGGACCGGGCGUAGCCACACUCGGUUCAACUAAAGUUGGAGAAACUGACACCCGCCAGCCACCUGUGUGCAAAGCACGGCGGUAGAACCAGUCUCGCGUAAGCGUACGCGUAAUGUCGGUCCGGGCCGCUUCAUCCAACAAUACCGCCGAACCAAAGUAUGACAUGCUGGUAAGCAGUAUGAAUUAAAUCGCCCACAACUCACUUGUGUUCUACUCGUGCAUAUAACAUCAACAUAUAAAACCUAGGCUCGGAUGCCACUGUUGGGGAACGUAGUAAUUUCAAAAAUUUCCUACGCACACGCAAGAUCAUGGUGAUGCAUAGCAACGAGAGGGGAGAGUGUUGUCUACGUACCCUCGUAGACCGAAGCGGAAGCGUUGAUGCAACAUAGAGGAAGUAGUCGUACGUCUUCCCGGUCCAACCGAUCCAAGCACCGUUACUCCGGUACCUCUGAGUUCUUGGCACACGUUCAGCUCGAUGACGCUCCCCGGGCUCCGAUCCAGCAAAGCUUCGGGGAGGAGUUCCGUCAGCAUGACGGCGUGGUGACGAUCUUGAUGUUCAACCGUCGCAGGGCUUCGCCUAAGCACUGCUACAAUAUGACCGAGGUGGAAUAUGGUGGAGGGGGGCACCGCACACGGCUAAGGAACGAUCACGAAGAUCAACUUGUGUGUCUAUGGGGUGCCCCCUGCCCCCGUAUAUAAAGCAGUGGAGGAGGGGAGGGCCGGCCCUCUCUAUGGCGCGCCCUAGGGGAGUCCUACUCCCACCGGGAGUAGGAUUCCCCCUUUCCUAGUCCAACUAGGAGUCCUUCCAUGUAGUAGGAGUAGGAAACAAGGAAGGGGUGCAGCCCCUCCCCCUAGUCCAAUUCGGACUAGGCCUUGGGGGGCGCGCGGCCUGCCCUAGGCAGCCCCUCUCUCUUUCCCGUAUGGCCCAAUAAGGCCCAAUACUUCUCCCGGCGAAUUCCCGUAACUCUCCGGUACUCCGAAAAAUACCCGAAUCACUCGGAACCUUUCCAAUGUCCGAAUAUAGUCGUCCAAUAUAUAGAUCUUUACAUCUCGACCAUUUCGAGACUCCUCGUCAUGUCCCCGAUCUCAUCCGGGACUCCGAACUCCUUCGGUACAUCAAAACUCAUAAACUCAUAAUAUAACUGUCAUCGAAACCUUUAGCAUGCGGACCCUACGGUUCGAGAACAAUGUAGACAUGACCGAGACACGUCUCCGGUCAAUAACCAAUAGCGGGACCUGGAUGCCCAUAUUGGCUCCUACAUAUUCUAUGAAGAUCUUUAUCGGUCAGACCGCAUAACAACAUACGUUGUUCCCUUUGUCAUCGGUAUGUUACUUGCCCGAGAUUCGAUCGUCGGUAUCUCAAUACCUAGUUCAAUCUCGUUACCGGCAAGUCUCUUUACUCGUUCCGUAAUACAUCAUCUCACAACUAACUCAUUAGUUGAAAUUCUUGCAAGGCUUAUGUGAUGUGCAUUACCGAGAGGGCCCAGAGAUACCUCUCCGACGAUCGGAGUGACAAAUCCUAAUCUCGAAAUACGCCAACCCAACAUGUACCUUUGGAGACACCUGUAGAGAUCCUUUAUAAUCACCCAGUUACGUUGUGACGUUUGGUAGCACACAAAGUGUUCCUCCGGCAAACGGGAGUUGCAUAAUCUCAUAGUCAUAGGAACAUGUAUAAGUCAUGAAGAAAGCAAUAGCAACAUACUAAACGAUCGGGUGCUAAGCUAAUGAAAUGGGUCAUGUCAAUCAGAUCAUUCACCUAAUGAUGUGAUCCCGUUAAUCAAAUAACAACUCUUUGUCAAUGGUUAGGAAACAUAACCAUCUUUGAUUAACGAGCUAGUCAAGUAGAGGCAUACUAGUGACACUCUGUUUGUCUAUGUAUUCACACAUGUAUUAUGUUUCCGGUUAAUACAAUUCUAGCAUGAAUAAUAAACAUUUAUCAUGAUAUAAGGAAAUAAAUAAAUAAUAACUUUAUUAUUGCCUCUAGGGCAUAUUUCCUUCAGUCUCCCACUUGCACUAGAGUCAAUAAUCUAGAUCACUUCACCAUGUGAUUAACACCCAUAGUUCACAUCGCCAUGUGACCAACACCGAAAGGGUUUACUAGAUUCAGUAAUCUAGUUCACAUCGCUAUGUGAUUAACACCCAAAGAGUACUAAGGUGUGAUCAUGUUUUGCUUGUGAGAGAAUCUUAGUCAACGGGUCUGCCACAUUCAGAUCCGCAUGUAUUUUGCAAAUUUCUAUGUCAACAAUGCUCUGCAUGGAGCUACUCUAGCUAAUUGCUCCCACUUUCAAUAUGUAUCCAGAUUGAGAUUUAGAGUCAUCUGGAUCAGUGUCAAAACUUGCAUCGACGUAACCCUUUACGACGAACCUUUUGUCACCUCCGUAAUCGAGAAACAUAUCCUUAUUCCAGUAAGGAUAAUUUUAACUGCUGUCCAUUGAUCUACUCCUAGAUCACUAUUGUACUCCCUCUCUUAACACAGUGUAUGGUAUACAAUAGAUCUGGUACACAGCAUGGCAUACUUUAUAGAACCUAUGACUGAGGCAUAGGGAAUGACUUUCAUUCUCUUUCUAUCUUCUGCCGUGGUCGGGCUUUGAGUCUUACUCAACUUCACACCUUGUAACACAGGCAAGAAUUUUUUUUAUUUGACUGUUCCAUUUUGAACUACAUCAAAAUCUUGUCAAGGUAUGUACUCAUUGAAAAAACUUAUCAAGCGUCUUGAUCUAUCUGUAUAGCACUUGAUACUCAAUAUGUAAGCAGCUUCACCGAGGUCUUUCUUUGAAAAACUCCUUUCAAACACUCCUUUAUGCUUUGCAAAAUAAUUCUACAUUAUUUCCGAUCAACAAUAUGUCAUUCACAUAUACUUAUCAGAAAUUUUGUAGUGCUCCCACUCACUUUCUUGUAAAUACAGGCUUCACCGCAAGUCUGUAUAAAACUAUAUGCUUUGAUCAUCUUAUCAAAGCAUAUAUUCCAACUCCGAGAUGCUUGCACCAGUCCAUAGAUGGAUCGCUGGAGUUUGCACAUUUUGUUAACACCUUUAGGAUUGACAAAACCAUCUUGUUGCAUCACAUACAACUCUUCUUUAAUAAAUCCAUUAAGGAAUGCAGUUUUGUUUAUCCAUUUGCCAGAUUUCAUAAAAUGUGGCAAUUGCUAACAUGAUUUGGACAGACUUAAGCAUGGAUACGAGUGAGAAACUCUCAUCGUAGUCAACACCUUGAACUUGUCGAAAACCUUUUGCGACAAUUCUAGCUUUGUAGAUAGUAACACUACUAUCCAUGUCCGUAUUCCUCUUGAAGAUCCAUUUAUUAUCAAUGGCUUGCCGAUCCUCGGGCGAGUCCACCAAAGUCCACACUUUGUUCUCAUACAUGGAUCCCAUCUCAGAUUUCAUGGCCUCAAGCCAUUUUGCGGAAUCUGGGCUCAUCAUCGCUUCCUCAUAGUUUGUAGGUUCGUCAUGGUCAAGUAACAUGACCUCCAGAAUAGGAUUAACGUACCACUCUGGUGCGGAUCUCACUCUGGUUUACCUACGAGAUUCGGUAGUAACUUGAUCUGAAGUUACAUGAUCAUCAUCAUUAGCUUCCUCACUAAUUGGUGUAGUAGUCACAGGAACAGAUUUCUGUGAUGAACUACUUUCCAAUAAGGGAGAAGGUACAAUUACCUUAUCAAGUUCUACUUUCCUCCCACUCACUUCUUUCGAGAGAAACUCCUUCUCUAGAAAGGAUCCAUUCUUAGCAACGAAUGUCUUGCCUUCGGAUCUAUGAUAGAAGUUGUACCCAACUGUCUCCUUUGGGUAUCCUAUGAAGACAUAUUUCUCCAAUUUGAGUUUGAGCUUAUCGAGAUGAAACUUUUUCACAUAAGCAUCGCAACUCCAAACUUUAAGAAACGACAGCUUAGGUUUCUUGCCAAACCAUAGUUCACACGGUGUCGUCUCAACGGAUUUAGAUGGUGCCCUAUUUAACGUGAAUGCAACUGUCUCUAAUGCAUAACCCCAAAACGAUAGUGGUAGAUCGGUAAGAGACAUCAUAGAUCGCACUAUAUCUAAUAAAGUACGGUUAUGACGUUCGGACACACCAUUACACUAUGGUGUUCCAGGUGCCGUGAGUAGUGAAACUAUUUCACAUUGUUUUAAUUCAAGGCCAAACUCGUAACUCAAAUAUUUUACCUCUGUGAUCAUAUCGUAGAAACUUUUAUUUUCUUGCCACGAUGAUUUUCCACUUCACUCUGAAAUUCUUUGAACUGUUCAAAUGUUUCAGACUUAUGUUUCAUCAAGUAGAUAUCCCCAUAUCUGCUCAAAUCAUCUGUGAAGGUCAGAAAAUAAUGAUACCUGCUGCAAGCCUUAAUAUUCAUCGGACCACAUACAUUAGUAUGUAUGAUUUCCAACAAAUCUGCUGCUUGCUUCAUUGUUCCGGAGAACGGCGUUUUAGUCAUCUUUCCCAUAAGGCAUGGUUCGCAAGCAUCAAGUGAUUCAUAAUCAAGUGAUUCCAAAAGCCCAUCAGCGUGGAGUUUCUUCAUGCGCUUUACACCAAUAUGACCUAAAUGGCAGUGCCACAAAUAAGUUGCACUAUCAUUAUUAACUUUGCAUCUUUUGGCUUCAAUAUUAUGAAUAUGUGUAUCACUACGAUCGAGAUCCAAUGAACUUGUUUCAUUGGGUGUAUGACCAUCGAAGGUUUUAUUCAUGUAAACAGAACAACAAUUAUUCUCUGACUUUAAUGAAUAACCGUAUUGCAAUAAACAUGAUCAAAUCAUAUUCAUGCUCAACGCAAAAACCAAAUAACACUUAUUUAGGUUCAACACUAAUCCCGAAAGUAUAGGGGAGUGUGCGAUGAUGAUCAUAUCAAUCUUGGAACUACUUCCAACACACAUCGUCACUUCACCCUUAACUAGUCUCUGUUUAUUCUGCAACUCCUGUUUCGAGUUACUACUCUUAGCAACUGAUCCAGUAUCAAAUACUGAGGGGUUGCUAUAAACACUAGUAAAGUACACAUCAAUAACAUGUAUAUCAAAUAUACUUUUGUUCACUUUGCCAUCCUUCUUAUCCGCCAAAUACUUGGGGCAGUUCCGCUUCCAGUCACCAGUCCCUUUGCAGUAGAAGCACUUAGUCUCAGGCUUAGGACCAGACUUGGGCUUCUUCACUUGAGCAGCAACUUGCUUGCCGUUCUUCUUGAAGUUCCCCUUCUUCCCUUUUGCCCUUUUCUUGAAACUAGUGGUCUUGUCAACCAUCAACACUUGAUGUUCUUUCUUGAUUUCUACCUUCGUCAAUUUCAGUAUCGUGAAGAGCUCGGGACUUUACUUUCGUCAUCCCUUGCAUAUUAUAGUUCAUCACGAAGUUCUACUAACUUGGUGAUGGUGACUAGUGAAUUCUGUCAAUCACUAUUUUAUCUGGAAGAUUAACUCCCACUUGAUUCAAGUGAUUGUAAUACCCAGACAAUCUGAGCACAUGCUCACUGCUUGGGCUAUUCUCCUCCAUCUUUUAGCUAUAGAACUUGUUAGAGACUUCAUAUUUCUCAACUCGAGUAUUUGCUUGAAAUAUUAACUUCAACUCCUGGAACAUCUCAUAUGGUCCAUGACGUUCAAAACGUCUUUGAAGUCCCGAUUCUAAGCCGUUAAGCAUGGUGUACUAAACUAUCAAGUAGUCAUCAUAUUGAGCUAGCCAAACGUUCAUAACGUCUGCAUCUGCUCCUGCAAUAGGUCUUUCACCUACCGGUGCAUCAAGGACAUAAUUCUUCUGUGCAGCAAUGAGGAUAAACCUCAGAUCACGGAUCCAAUCCGCAUCAUUGCUACUAACAUCUUUCAACACAAUUUUUCUCUAGGAACAUAUCAAAAUAAACAUAUGAAAGCAACAACGCGAGCUAUUGAUCUACAACAUAGAUAUGCUAAUACUACCAGGACUAAGUUCAUGAUAAAUUAAAGUUCAAUUAAUCAUAUUACUUAAGAACUCCCGCUUAGAUAGACAUCCCUCUAAUCCUCUAAGUGAUCACGUGAUCCAUAUCAACUAAACCAUGUCCGAUCAUCACGUGAGAUGGAGUAGUUUCAAUGGUGAACAUCACUAUGUUGAUCAUAUCUACUAUAUGAUUCACGCUCGACCUUUCGGUCUCCGUGUUCCGAGGCCAUAUCUGUUAUAUGCUAGGCUCGUCAAGUUAAACCUGAGUAUUCCACGUGUGCAACUGUUUUGCACCCGUUGUAUUUGAACGUAGAGCCUAUCACACCCGAUCAUCACGUGGUGUCUCAGCACGAAGAACUUUCGCAACGGUGCAUAAUCAGGGAGAACACUUAUACCUUCAUAAUUUAGUGAGAGAUCAUCUUAUAAAGCUACCGCCGAACUAAGAAAAAUAAGAUGUAUAAAAUAUAAACAUCACAUGCAAUCAAAAUAUGUGACAUGAUAUGGCCAUCAUCAUCUUGUGCCUUUGAUCUCCAUCUCCAAAGCAUCGUCAUGAUUUCCAUCGUCACCGGCAUGACACCAUGAUCUCCAUCAUCUUGAUCUAUAUCAAUGUGUCGUCACAUGGUCGUCUCGCCAAUAUUGCUCUUGCAACUAUUGCUAUCGCAUAGCGAUAAAGUAAAGCAAUUAUUUGGCGCUUGCAUCUUAUGCAAUAAAGCGACAACCAUAAGGCUUCUGCCAGUUGCCGAUAACUUCAACAAAACAUGAUCAUCUCAUACAACAACUUAUAUCUCAUCAUGUCUUGACCAUAUCACAUCACAACAUGCCCUGCAAAAACAAGUUAGACGUCCUCUACUUUGUUGUUGCAAGUUUUUACAUGGCUGCUACGGGCUGAGCAAGAACCGUUCUUCCCUACGCAUCAAAACCACAACGAUAGUUUGUAAAGUUGGUGCUGUUUUAACCUUCGCAAGGACCGGGCGUAGCCACACUCGGUUCAACUAAAGUUGGAGAAACUGACACCCGCCAGCCACUUGUGUGCAAAGCACGGCGGUAGAACCAGUCUCGCGCAAGCGUACGCGUAAUGUUGGUCCGGGCCGCUUCGUCCAACAAUACCGCCGAACCAAAGUAUGACAUGCUGGUAAGCAGUAUGACUUAUAUCGCCCACAACUCACUUGUGUUCUACUCAUGCAUAUAACAUCAACAUAUAAAACCUGGCUCGGAUGCCACUGUUGGGUAACGUAGUAAUUUCAAAAAAAUUCCUACGCACAUGCAAGAUCAUGGUGAUGCAUAGCAACGAGAGGGGAGAGUAUUGUCUACGUACCGUCGUAGACCGAAGCGGAAGCGUUGAAGUAGUCAUACGUCUUCUCGAUCCGACCGAUCCAAGCACCGUUACUCCGGCACCUCCGAGUUCUUGGCACACGUUCAGCUCAAUGACGCUCCCCGGGCUCCGAUCCAGCAAAGCUUCGGGGAGGAGUUCCGUCAGCACGAUAGCGUGGUGACGAUCUUGAUGUUCAACCGUCGCAGGGCUUCGCCUAAGCACUGCUACAAUAUGACCGAGGUGGAAUAUGGUGGAGGGGGGCACCGCACACGGCUAAGGAACGAUCACGAAGAUCAACUUGUGUGUCUAUGGGGUGCCCCCUGCCCCCGUAUAUAAAGCAGUGGAGGAGGGGAGGGCCGGCCCUCUCUAUGGCGCGCCCUAGGGGAGUCCUACUCCCACCGGGAGUAGGAUUCCCCCUUUCCUAGUCCAACUAGGAGUCCUUCCAUGUAGUAGGAGUAGGAAACAAGGAAGGGGUGCAGCCCCUCCCCCUAGUCCAAUUCGGACUAGGCCUUGGGGGGCGCGCGGCCUGCCCUAGGCAGCCCCUCUCUCUUUCCCGUAUGGCCCAAUAAGGCCCAAUACUUCUCCCGGCGAAUUCCUGUAACUCUCCGGUACUCCGAAAAAUACCCGAAUCACUCGGAACCUUUCCGAUGUCCGAAUAUAGUCGUCCAAUAUAUCGAUCUUUACGUCUCGACCAUUUCGAGACUCCUCGUCAUGUCCCCGAUCUCAUCCGGGACUCCGAACUCCUUCGGUACAUCAAAACUCAUAAACUCAUAAUAUAACUGUCAUCGAAACCUUAAGCGUGCGGACCCUACGGUUCGAGAACAAUGUAGACAUGACCGAGACACGUCUCCGGUCAAUAACCAAUAGCGGGACCUGGAUACCCAUAUUGGCUCCUACAUAUUCUACGAAGAUCUUUAUCGAUCAGACCGCAUAACAACAUACGUUGUUCCCUUUGUCAUCGGUAUGUUACUUGCCCGAGAUUCGAUCGUCGGUAUCUCAAUACCUAGUUCAAUCUCGUUACCGGCAAGUCUCUUUACUCGUUCCAUAAUACAUCAUCUCACAACUAAUUCAUUAGUUGAAAUGCUUGCAAGGCUUAUGUGAUGUGCAUUACCGAGAGGGCCCAGAGAUACCUCUCCGACAAUCGGAGUGACAAAUCCUAAUCUCGAAAUACGCCAACCCAACAUGUACCUUUGGAGACACCUGUAGAGAUCCUUUAUAAUCACCCAGUUACGUUGUGACGUUUGGUAGCACACAAAGUGUUCCUCCGGCAAACGGGAGUUGCAUAAUCUCAUAGUCAUAGGAACAUGUAUAAGUCAUGAAGAAAGCAAUAGCGACAUACUAAACGAUCGGGUGCUAAGCUAAUGAAAUGGGUCAUGUCAAUCAGAUCAUUCACCUAAUGAUGUGAUCCCGUUAAUCAAAUAACAACCCUUUGUCAAUGGUUAGGAAACAUAACCAUCUUUGAUUAACGAGCUAGUCAAGUAGAGGCAUACUAGUGACACUCUGUUUGUCUAUGUAUUCACACAUGUAUUAUGUUUCUGGUUAAUACAAUUCUAGCAUGAAUAAUAAACAUUUAUCAUGAUAUAAGGAAAUAAAUAAUAACUUUAUUAUUGCCUCUAGGGCAUAUUUCCUUCAGUAAUCUCCAAGAUUGCUAUAACCGGGCACCAUCCUCGGAUCAUUAGCGAUGAUGUCACUAGGCACCUUGAGCGGGGGCACGAUUGCUUCGCUUGUUCGCCGAGCUGUGCAAUUUGUUUCCUAGCUCGUUGUUCUUUUAGCCUUUGAUCACUGACAGUACUUCCCGACCGCUCCGCUUCGACAAAUUCCUUUCCAAUAAUGCGCUCAUAGUUUCCUUUCGGCGGAGACUUGGGUGGUUUUGUCAGGGCAGCCAGAGUGCGCUUCGCUUUCACCGGAUCUACCUUCUCCUCCGAAGGUGGAUGUUUCUUUGCUUUCACCCCUUCAAAGAAGUUCCUCACUUCUUCUCGCGCGAUCUCGUCAUUCUCCUCCGGGGUCCUCUCGUAUGGUAACUUCUCUGGAGUAUUGAGAGAAGGACCGAAUCUGUAUGUCCUCCCGCCUCUGGCUGUACUGCUAGACGCCGGUAGAGCAGACGGAGCGGUUGUCUUCUUUACUUGCUUACGAGGCAGAGGAGAAGGACUACGACGCGCCGGAGCAGCCGGAGCGGCGGCAGGUCUCUUCCGCCCUUGCUGACGAGGCGGAGAAGGAGGAGGCUGGCUGCUCGGGCGCGCCGGCGCAGGCGGAGAAGGAGGCGGAGUGCCGCCACGCACCGGAGAAGGAGCCGGUCGAGUGCCCUGAUCGUCACUCGCCGGAGGAGGAGGCGGUGGAGGAGGCGGAGUGCCCUGACUCGCCGGAGGAGGAGGCGAUGGAGGAGGCGGAGUGCCCUGACUCGCCGGAGGAGGAGGAGGAGGCGGAGGCGUCCAGUUCGGAAGGUUGAUGAGCUCCUUCCGCCAUAGGCAUGGAGUCUUCAGAGCAGAACCCAGCCUAGUCUCCCCUUCACCGGUAGGGUGGUCAAGCUGGAGGUCCUCAAAUCCCUCCGUUAUUUCAUCCACCAUCACCCUAGCAUAUCCUUCUGGAAUCGGCCGGCAGUGAAAAGUUGUGUCGGGUUAAGUAGGAUAAACAGAGCCAACAGCCACCUUGACCUACAAAUUCAUCCAUUGCGUCAUAAGGUGGAAAUUUUGAGACUCCGUGAUAGCAUCCACGGGAUAGCUGGCAGGAGCCGUCAAGACAUGCUCCGGCUGAAGCAGCUCGGUGGAAGCCACGCUGCUUCUCCGCUGAGAUGGCGGGGUAGCUUUGGGGCAAGCUUCGGCAGUUCGUUUGCUGCGAUUUGCUUCUCGUUCCUCUAUCGCUUGUACCCUUGCUUGUAGCGCCUGCAUUUGGGUCUGCUGCACUUUUUUCCUCCUCUCCUGGCAUUUGUAACCGCUUGCGUCCGGAAACCCAACCUUCCACAGAAUGGAGCCUGGCGUGCCUCGUGUCCGUCCAGGGUGCUCAGGAUUCCCGAGGGCCAUUGUGAGCUCAUCGUUCUCUCUGUCUGGAAAGAAUGUCCCUUCUGCACUGCUUUGAUAUACUGCUGAAGCUUCUUGACUGGUAUGUCCAUUUGAUCGUUCGUCCAAAUGCACUUCCCUGAUAUAGGGUCCAAGGUUCCGCCAGCCCCGAAGAACCAAGUCCAGCAACGGUCUGGCCAGUUAAUUGUCUCUGGUUCGAUCCCUUUAUCAACCAGAUCAUUCUCAGUCUUGGCCCACUUAGGCCGGGCUAUGAGGUAGCCACCUGACCCCGUGCGAUGGUGAUGCUUCUUCUUCGCAGCAUUUUGCUUGUUUGUCGCCGACAUCUUCUUACUCUUUUCCGAUGUCUUGUGGGCCACAAAUGCGGGCCAGUGAUCUCUGAUCUUCUCAUAUCUGCCCUUGAAUUCUGGUGUCUCUUUAUUUUCGACAAACUUAUUCAGCUCUUUCUUCCACCUCCUGAAUAGUUCUGCCAUCCUCUUAAGAGCAAAAGACUUGAUUAAUUGCUAUUUAACUGGCUUCUCCGGAUCAUCCUCUGGCGGUAGGGUGAAAUUUGACUUCAGCCCAGUCCAAAGAUCAUUUUUCUGCAUAUCAUUGACAUAAGACACCUCAGGGUCUUCUGUAGCCGGCUUUAACCAUUGCUGGAUGCUGAUCGGGAUCUUGUCCCUAACCAAAACCCCGCACUGAGCAACAAAUGCGCUCUUUGUCCGGAGGGGUUCAAUCAGUUGGCCGUCGGGCGCGAUUGCUAUGAUCUAAACUUUUCAUCCAAGCUCAACUUUUUCUUCGGGCCUCGUCUCUUUACCGAAGUUGUGCUCGAUCCGGAGGGCUAGAAAAAAGAACAAAUACUUAAUUAAUAUGUGUACAUACCAAAACAAUGAAUGCAUAAAUUAGCUAGUCAGCAGAAGCUUAACUAAUAUAUAUACCUGGCCGGACUCGGUUCGGUCACCGGAGACGUCAUCACGGUCUCCUUCUUGCACCGGCAUUGGGUCACCGGACCCUUCCUCACGAUCUCCUUCUUGCACCGGCAUUAGGUCACCGGAGCCAUCAUAAUCAUAGCCAGCUGCUUCCAGACCAUCGGUGUUGUUGAGAAACAACGAGCAGACGGCAUCACUUCCUCGUGCGAUUAUGUCCCCCAUCAACCGGGACCAAAGGCCGCCGCUUCCCGCCCUUUGAGCUGCUGAAAAGAGGCCUUUGGUCCCGGUUGGUGGCACCAACCGGGACUAAAGGGGGGCAUUGGUCACGGUUUGUGCUACGAACCAUGACCAAUGCCCCCUUUAGUCCCGGUUGCUGGCACCAACCGGGACCAAAGGUUGUGUGCUAGAACUGGCGCAGUGCGGUGGGAUGUUUAGUCCCACCUCGCUAGCCGAGAGGGGCUUGGAGUGGUUUAUAAGCUCUGUCGAGCCGACCACUUCGAGCUCCUCUCUACUGCAGGCUUAGGGGCCUAAAUCCACUGUCUGUACCUGUGGGCCUACUGGGUCUCCUGCGGGCCUGAAUCCUGGCCCAUCAUAGGGUUUCUAGUCGUAUUCAGGCCGUGGGGGCUCAGUAGGAGGCACUUUUUUGUUUUUUUAUUUUCUUUACUUAUUGUUGCUAUUUUUAGUUUUUUUUCCAGUUUUUUGUUUUGUUUUCUGCAUUAUUUAUUUUCUUUUGUUUUUUGCUUUACUUUUUUAAUUCUUUUUGCUUUUAGUUUUAGAAAAAUUAUAAACUUUCUCUUAGUGCCAUUAGUUUUCAAAUUUGAAAACACUUUUUUGUUUUUUUGUUUUCUUUACUUANNNNNNNNNNNNNNNNNNNNNNNNNNNNNNNNNNNNNNNNNNNNNNNNNNNNNNNNNNNNNNNNNNNNNNNNNNNNNNNNNNNNNNNNNNNNNNNNNNNNNNNNNNNNNNNNNNNNNNNNNNNNNNNNNNNNNNNNNNNNNNNNNNNNNNNNNNNNNNNNNNNNNNNNNNNNNNNNNNNNNNNNNNNNNNNNNNNNNNNNNNNNNNNNNNNNNNNNNNNNNNNNNNNNNNNNNNNNNNNNNNNNNNNNNNNNNNNNNNNNNNNNNNNNNNNNNNNNNNNNNNNNNNNNNNNNNNNNNNNNNNNNNNNNNNNNNNNNNNNNNNNNNNNNNNNNNNNNNNNNNNNNNNNNNNNNNNNNNNNNNNNNNNNNNNNNNNNNNNNNNNNNNNNNNNNNNNNNNNNNNNNNNNNNNNNNNNNNNNNNNNNNNNNNNNNNNNNNNNNNNNNNNNNNNNNNNNNNNNNNNNNNNNNNNNNNNNNNNNNNNNNNNNNNNNNNNNNNNNNNNNNNNNNNNNNNNNNNNNNNNNNNNNNNNNNNNNNNNNNNNNNNNNNNNNNNNNNNNNNNNNNNNNNNNNNNNNNNNNNNNNNNNNNNNNNNNNNNNNNNNNNNNNNNNNNNNNNNNNNNNNNNNNNNNNNNNNNNNNNNNNNNNNNNNNNNNNNNNNNNNNNNNNNNNNNNNNNNNNNNNNNNNNNNNNNNNNNNNNNNNNNNNNNNNNNNNNNNNNNNNNNNNNNNNNNNNNNNNNNNNNNNNNNNNNNNNNNNNNNNNNNNNNNNNNNNNNNNNNNNNNNNNNNNNNNNNNNNNNNNNNNNNNNNNNNNNNNNNNNNNNNNNNNNNNNNNNNNNNNNNNNNNNNNNNNNNNNNNNNNNNNNNNNNNNNNNNNNNNNNNNNNNNNNNNNNNNNNNNNNNNNNNNNNNNNNNNNNNNNNNNNNNNNNNNNNNNNNNNNNNNNNNNNNNNNNNNNNNNNNNNNNNNNNNNNNNNNNNNNNNNNNNNNNNNNNNNNNNNNNNNNNNNNNNNNNNNNNNNNNNNNNNNNNNNNNNNNNNNNNNNNNNNNNNNNNNNNNNNNNNNNNNNNNNNNNNNNNNNNNNNNNNNNNNNNGUUUCUAUUUACAAAAAAUACUUAUUGUUGCUAUUUUUUUGUUUUCCAGAUUUUUUGUUUUGUUUUCUACAUUAUUUAUUUUCUUUUGUUUUUUGCUUUAUUAUUUAUUUAUUUUUGCUUUUAGGUCAGCAAAAUUAUAAAUUUUCUGUUAGUGCCAUUAGUUUUAGAAAAAUUAUAAACUUUUUGUUAGUGUCAUUAGUUUUCAAAUUUGAAUAGUUAAAAUUUGAAUUGUUUGAAAUUUGUGUGAAUCACAAGUUUGUGAUUAACUUUACUAAAAAAUGAACAUAGAUGCACUUAUAGAGAAAAUUCGACCUAAAUUCAUAGUUUUCAAAUGAACUCUGAAAAAGUUGGCAUAGCAUAAUCAUGUGUUACAAAGUUGGCAUGGUAUCAUCAUAAUAGUUGCGGGAGAAAGUUUUCACUUUUUCUUCGCUUGUGUCAUUUGCUUAUUGCACCGUAACCAUGGAUAAUCUUCAUCAUUUAUCAGGAUGCUUGGGUCAGCCUUGACAUUCAAGGGGGGAAUUUAAUGAAACUUUUCAUAAUCUUCAGACAUGUUUGUCUUGCCGUCCACUCCCAGGAUGUCCUUCACAUAGAUAACCUGUGCCACAUCAUUGGCUAGGACGAACAGUUCGUCAGUGUACCCAAGAUUUUUCAGAUCCACUGUUGUCAUUCCGUACUGUGGGUCUACCUGUACCCCGCUGCCUGACAAAUUGACCCAUUUGCACUUAAACAAAGGGACCUUAAAAUCAGGUCCGUAGUCAAGUUCCCAUAUGUCCACUAUGUAACCAUAAUAUGUGUCCUUUCCGCUCUCGGUUGCUGCAUCAAAGCGGACACCGUUGUUUUGGUUGGUGCUCUUUUGAUCUUGGGCGAUCGUGUAAAAUGUAUUCCCAUUUAUCUCGUAUCCUUUGUAAGUCAAUACAGUCAAAGAUGGUCCCCUGGACAACAAGCACAACUCAUCACAAACAGUGUUGUCACCUCUGAGACGUGUUUCCAACCAACUGCUGAAAGUCCUGAUGUGUUCACAUGUAAUCCAGUCAUCGCACUGCUCCGGGUUUGGAGCGCAGACUGUUCUUGUGUUCAUCGACAUACGGGGUCACCAAGGUAGAGUUCUGUAGAACUGUGUAGUGUGCUUGAGACCAAGAAUAUCCGUCCCUGCAUAUUAUUGAGUCACUUCCAAGAGUGCCUUUUCCAGUUAGUCUCCCCUCAUACCGUGAUUUAGGAAGACCUGUCUUCUUAAGGCCAGGAAUGAAGUCAACACAAAACCCUAUAACAUCCUCUGUUUGAUGGCCCAUGGAGAUGCUUCCUUCUGGCCUAGCGCGGUUACGAACAUAUUUCUUUAGGACUCCCAUGAACCUCUCAAAGGGGAACAUAUUGUGUAAAAAUACGGGCCCCGGGAUGACAAUCUCGUCGACUAGAUGAACUAGGACGUGCGUCAUGAUAUUGAAGAAGGAUGGUGGGAACACCAGCUCGAAACUGACAAGACAUUGCGCCACAUCACUCCUUAGCCUUGGUACGAUUUCUGGAUCGAUCACCUUCUGAGAGAUUGCAUUGAGGAAUGCACAUAGCUUCACAAUGGCUAAUCGGACGUUUUUCGGUAGAAGCCCCCUCAAUGCAACCGGAAGCAGUUGCGUCAUAAUCACGUGGCAGUCAUGAGACUUUAGGUUCUGAAACUUUUUCUCUGGCAUAUUUAUUAUUCCCUUUAUAUUCGACGAGAAGCCAGUCGUGACCUUCAUACUGAGCAGGCAUUCAAAGAAGAUUUCUUUCUCUUAUUUCGUAAGAGCGUAGCUGGCAAGACCUUUAUACUGCUUCGGAGGCAUGCCGUCUUUUUCGUGCAAAUGUUGCAGGUCCUCCCGUGCCUCAGGUGUAUCUUUUGUCUUCCCAUACACGCCCAAGAAGCCUAGCAGGUUCACGCAAAGGUUCUUCGUCACGUGCAUCACGUCGAUUGAAGAGCGGACCUCUAGGUCUUUCCAGUAGGGUAGGUCCCAAAAUAUAGAUUUCUUCUUCCACAUGGGUGCGUGUCCCUCAGCGUCAUUCGGAACAGCUAGUCCACCGGGACCCUUUCCAAAGAUUACGUGUAAAUCAUUGACCAUAGCAAGUACGUGAUCACCGGUACGCAUGGCGGGCUUCUUCCGGUGAUCUGCCUCGCCUUUGAAAUGCUUGCCUUUCUUUCGACAUUGAUGGUUGGUCGGAAGAAAUCGACGAUGGCCCAGGUACACAUUCUUCCUGCAUUUUUCCAGGUAUAUACUUACAGUGUCAUCUAAACAGUGCGUGCAUGCGUGGUAUCCUUUGUUUGUCUGUCCUGAAAGGUUACUGAGAGCGGGCCAAUCGUUGAUGGUCACGAACAGCAACGUCUUUAGGUUAAAUUCCUCAUGUCUGUGCUCAUCCCACGUACGUACACCGUUUCCAUUCCACAGCUGUAAAAGUUCUUCAACUAAUGGCCUUAGGUACGCAUCAAUGUCGUUGCCGGGUUGCUUAGGGCCUUGGAUGAGAACUGGCAUCAUAAUGAACUUCUGCUUCAUGCACAUCCAAGGAGGAAGGUUAUACAUACAUAGAGUCACGGGCCAGGUGCUAUGAUUGCUGCUCUGCUCCCCGAAAAGAUUAAUGCCAUCCGCGCUUAAAGCAAACCAUACAUUUCUUGGAUCCUUUGCAAACUCAUCCCAGUACUUUCUCUUGAUUUUUCUCCACUGCGACCCGUCAGCGGGUGCUCUCAACUUCCCAUCUUUCUUUCGGUUCUCACUGUGCCAUCACAUCAACUUGGCAUGCUCUUCGUUUCUGAACAGACGUUUCAACCGUGGUAUUAUAGGAGCAUACCACAUCACCUUCGCAGGAACCCUCUUUCUGGGGGGCUCGCCGUCAACAUCACCAGGGUCAUCUCGUCUGAUCUUAUACCGCAAUGCACCGCAUACCGGGCAUGCGUUCAGAUCCUUGUAAGCACCGCGGUAGAGGAUGCAGUCAUUAGGGCAUGCAUGUAUCUCCAAUCCUAGAGGGCAUACGACCUUCUUUGCUACGUAUGUACCGUCGGGCAAUUCGUUAUCCUUUGGAAGCUUCUUCUUCAAUAUUUUUAGUAGCUUCUCAAAUCCUUUGUCAGCCACGGCAUUCUCUGCCUUCCACUGCAGCAAUUCCAGUACGGUACCGAGCUUUGUGUUGCCAUCUUCGCAAUUGGGGUACAACCCUUUUUGUGAUCCUCUAACAUGUGAUCGAAUUUCAGCUUCUCCUUUUGACUUUCGCAUUGCGUCCUUGCAUCGACAAUGACCCGUCGGAGAUCAUCAUUGUCGGGCACAUCAUCUGGUUCCUCUUGAUCUUCAGCAGCUUCACCCGUUGCAGCAUCAUUGGGCACAUCGUCUGGUUCCUCUUGAUCUUCACCAGCUCCCCCCGUUGCAGCAUCACCGUAUUCAGGGGGCACAUAGUUGUCAUCGUACUCUUCUUCUUCGCCAUCUUCCAUCAUAACCCCUAUUUCUCCAUGCCUCGUCCAAACAUUAUAGUAUGGCUUGAAACCCUUGUAAAGGAGGUGGGAGUGAAGGAUUUUCCGGUUAGAGUAAGACCUCGUAUUCCCACAUUCAGUGCAUGGACAACACAUAAGACCAUUCUGCUUGUUUGCCUCAGCCGCAUCGAGAAACUCAUGCACGCCCUUAAUGUACUCGCAGGUGUGUCUGUCACCGUACAUCCAUUGCCGGUUCAUCUGCGUGCAUUAUAUAUAAUUAAGUGUCCAAAUUAAUAAAAGUUCAUCAUCACAUUAAAACCAAAGUGCAUACAUAGUUCUCAUCUAACAACAUAUAGCUCUCCAGAGCAUCUAAUUAACUAAACCAUACAUUGAAACUAUGUAAAACAUUUCAAUGCGAAAACAAAUGCGAUCAUAAUCGCAACCAACGUAACAAUUGAUCCAACGGCAUAAUGAUACCAAGCCUCGGUAUGAAUGACAUAUUUUCUAAUCUUUCUAAUCUUCAAGCGCAUUGCAUCCAUCUUGAUCUUGUGAUCAUCGACGACAUCCGCAAUAUGCAACUCCAAUAUCAUCUUCUCCUCCUCAUUUUUUUUAUUUUUUCCUUCAACAAAUUGUUUUCUUAUUCAACUAAAUUUAACCUCUCGACAAUAGGGUCGGUUGGCAUUUCCGAUUCACAUACAUCCUAUAUAAAUAAAAUCUAUGUCACGUUGGUCGGCAUAAUUUUCAUAAACAAUAAAUGAACCAAUAGUUAUAAAGAUAAUAUAUAUACCACAUCUGAAUCAUAGACAGGACGAGGGCCGAUGGGCGCGGAUACCAAAACCAUCGCACUAUAUAAGAUGCAAUAAUAAAAGUAAGAAAAUAAUACAAGUAUCUAUGUAAACAUACAAGUAAGAAUAUUUUUCCUUUCAGAAAGAAGAUAAGAACAAGAGGCUCACCACGGUGGUGCCGGCGAUGAGCUCGGCGCGGGUGAUCGACGGCGGUGAAGACGGGGACGGGGCGUGACGGACCGCUAAACCUAGACAAAUAUUAUGAAAAAUGGAGUUUGGAGGUCGAGCUUGGUAAGGAGAAAACUUAAGUAGUGUGGCUUGGGCAUUCCAUCGAACACCUUGUGUGCAUAAAAGGUGAGCUAGAGCAUCACCAAGCCCUCUCCCCCUCGGCUAGAAAAAAAUAGAGCAGUGUACUCUGCUCUUACGCGAGGGGGUAUAUAUAGGCACCUCAUUGGUCCCGGUUGGUGGCAUGAACCGGGACUAAAGGGGAGCCUUUGGUCCCGGUUCAAGCCACCAACCGGGACCAAUGGUGGUGGGCCAGGAGCGAGGCCCAUUGAUCCCGGUUCGGCCCACCAACCGGGACCAAAAGGUCCAGAUGAACCGGGACCAAUGGCCCACGUGGCCCGGCAGGCCCCCUGGGCUCACGAACCGGGUCCAAUGCCCCUAUUGGUCCGGGUUCUGGACUGAGCCGGGACUAAUGGGCUGACCCGGUCUGGACCAAAGCCCUGUUUUCUAUGUGGCUACUCUAAAUUCAGUUCACACCGUGCCACAUUCGGUUUAAAUUCAGUUUACACGGUGAAUUUGCAUCCUUUGCGUGAUCAUCUGUAUCUUCAUUUGCAUCAGUGCAACAACGAGUUUAAAUCCAUUUUACGCAGUGUAUCAUUCAGUUUAAUUAAACUCGUGGGCUUUUGACCGGGCCACGAAAUUCUUGCCCUUGGGCCGACGGGGCCCAAUAACAUGAUGGUAUAAAUAAAAACUGAGAGAAACCCUAAGCAGCUAGGCACCCCGACCUCCGCCUUGGCGGCGCGGCCGUUCCCAAAUCGACGCGAGCAGAAAUGGCCGGCCGCCGCCGCAGCCGCUCGCGAAUCCAAGGCGACGGGGCGACCCGUCCUCGUCGCCUCCGCUCCCGAGUCGUCGGCAGCGAGGACGGCGACGGGGCGACCCGUCCCAGCCGCCGCCGCUCCCGAGUCGUCGGCAGCGAGGACGGCGACGGGGCGACCCGUCCCAGCCGCCGCCGCCGCGCCAGCUCGCCGGAGGUGCCAGACGAAGCUGACGCUGAUACCCUGUGGGAGUCGCUGCCGUUGGAUAUGAUUUGGGAGAUCCUGCUCCUGCUUCCACCGGAGCGGCCCUCCCUCGUGCUGCCACCGAAGCGGCGCUCCUUCCUGCGCGCAUCCGGCGUCUCCACGCUCUGGCGAGGCGUCGCCACCGACCCAAACUUUAUGAGCCAGCACCGCAGGAAGUGGAAGCCUCCACUCCUCGGCGUUUUCGAGCGCCGCCAGCAGAAGUUCCACUUCACCCCCGUCUUGCAUCCUCCCGACCGUAUCCCUGCCGACCGCAUUCACAUCUCAGGCUGGAUGACCUCCCGCGACUGCGACGCGACCGACUGCCGCCACGGUCGGGUGUUGGCACAGGCGGUUGGCGCGUCUUGUUGUGUUCGCCCCCAUCACCGGCCAGGAGCACUGCCUGCCCUUUCCGGACGAGUUCAUGAAAUGCAACUACCACUACGGGGCUGUGCUCUGUGCUGCCAGCGGCCAGGAGGACCACGUGCACGGCUUUUGCCACGAGAGCCCAUUCAAGGUCGCAUUGUUGUCCAGGUGCGAUAAUCGAUAUAUCACCUCUGUUUACUCAUCAGAAAGCCGCACAUGGGCAGACCUUAUAACAAUCGAAGCUCCAUUUAAAGUUGCUCUUGUUGAUGUUCCUGCGACCCUGGUUGGAAAUGUGCUCUACUGGAUGCUUUCAUCAAAUGAUGUUUGUGCUGCCAUGCUUGAGUUUGAUUUGGAUAGGCAGAGCCUAGCUGUGAUCAAGGGACCUUCUGAUAUGAAUUAUUCCGGCAGCCAUAGGAUCAUCAAAACAGAGCAAGGCACAGUUGGCUGGGUCAGGUUUUCAUUUCCGAUCCUAGAAAUAUGGCUGAGGAAGAAAAAAUGUCACGGUCUUGCCACGUGGUUGCAGCAUAAGACAGUUGAUAUGCAUGACAUUCUUGGGAUCCCUCGGGUUAGUAAGAAGCGGUGGCCAAAAAUCCUUGGGUAUGACGAGGACAACAAUGUGAUCAUUCUGUAUGUUGAGGACAGUGCCUACAUGCUUGAUCUUAAGUCGAUGGAAUCCACAAAACUUGAUGAAAGCCGUUUGAUGAAAUACUGCCACCCAUUCACCAGUUUCUAUCCGCCAGGUGAUUGCUCAUUCUUAGUUUUCUUUUAUUUGGAAGUAAUCGAAUUUAGUUGUGUUAUGUACAGUACAUGAUUGCUCGCACACAAUGAUUGUGGUACUUCAAAUGUUCAGUUAUAACUUGAGCUUAGUAAGCAAUUUCCGGUGAUAAAACUUAGUAAGUGCCCCUAUGCUAGAUGGAUGAAUUUAUAGUCAUAUUGUUUUAGUACAAUUUAUCUUAAUACCCAAAUCAAAUGCCAAAUUAGCAACUCAGUUGGCACUUUGAAACCCCCAAGCGAAUUCUAUUCUUUAUCCAUUAUUAUAUGUUUUCAUCUUGGCAUUAAUCUUAACUCUAAUAAAACAACUUCGUUGAAUCCAUACACUCUGAAAUAACUGUGUUUUUGUCAUUUGUUCAUUUAUUACAUUUGUAGCACAAAGAAACGAUAUGAAUUUUCUUAUGUUGGGAUCUUUUUAUUUAGAACAGAAUACCCAGCAUCAAUUUUUGUGCCAAGAGUAUAUUAUUUUGGCAUAAUCUUGUUUGCUUGACAUGAUGAGGGAUGAGUUUAGAGAACAUAAGUUAUAAGCCAUAUUGUUUUUGGUCUUUUUGCCAGCUAAAUUCUCCAUCCUUAAUAUUCCUUCCAGUUGACAACAAGUAUGGACUUUUUUAAUCUAUUGCCAGUAUCAAGAGCAAGUUAUAACACAUCUAUAUAAAAAUAAAUUACGGAAGCGAGUUAUAUUUGUCCGCACAUGUUUCUAACUGUCUCAUUGUUGCCUUUUCCGUUCCAUUUGUCUCUUCAUUAGAACUGUUGCUAAUUGUCUGACUUGUUAUUCUUCUAGACAUGGCCAUCUAAGAAGCAUUGAUAUAUGCACACGGACACAAGGAUACAGAUACAGAUAUCCCAGAAACAACCAUACAGGGACACGGUGAGUAUAUACAUAAAUAAAUAAAGUACAACAUGUAAUGUUGUGGGGACAAAAGUAUAUUUGUAAGAUGUGCGAUCAAAGUACUGCCCAUUUGUGUUUUCUGCCUUCAUCUCCACGUUUGUAUAUGGAUGAGCUUAAUGCAGCUGAUGCUGCAAGUACGUAUAUGUAAGUAGAUAUUUCAGGAAAAAGAAAAUACAAUGCAGCAUGUAAUAUGGACAUAAUUAUAUUUGUGAGAUCUGGGAUCAGUUCUUGAUUCUGUCAUGUAAUGUGGACAAAAUUAUGUUUGUAACAUGUGAGAUCAUCUGGUUUCAUUUCCACGUUUGUAUGUGACUGAACAUAAUGCAACUGAAACAGGGGAUAGUGUGACUGGAAAGACAGACAGUCAAGACCUGAAUACCCAAUAUGUCCUGGGUUCAGGUCGGAUUUAGUUGUAUCUUUGUCAUUUGUUUUUUUAAAUUUAAGGAACCUGUCCAUGUUUUUCACAUUUUCGUCUAAUGCUUUGAUUGGAGGAAUUUGCAUUCUCGGCUAAAAUUCCUAUGAGGUUACUUGCCAUAGGAGGACCGGACUACACGGCUGCAAGACACUGCUAGAAACUUACUGUUCAUGUUCUGAAUUCUAAGAGGAAAGACAAGUGCGAUGGCCACCGGUGGGUAGCUGCCGCAUUCAAGCACUAUUGCCGGGGUCGCCGUCGACGGGGGAGCGCUGGUCUAAAUGGGGAUCAUCUAAUGCACCAAUCAAGGCCAAUUCCUGUUCGGCGCUCGUAGCGCCAGUUAUAGCGCUUGUAGGUAUGCGGCGCGCACCACCUGCUUCGGUUGAUUUUCUGUGGGCCGGCCCAUCAAUAGGUACUCGAGCGCAGUUUCGGCCACUGGUCUUAGGAAGCUUCCGGCCUGUUUUUCCCUUUUGGUUUUUGGAUGGCUUUUAUUUGGGUUUUUCUUUUCCUUUUCCUUUUCUUUUUAAAAUUCAUGAAAUAAUUUAAUAAAUUCUAAAUUUCCCUUCGAACCCGUGAAACUAUUUUAUUAUACAUGUGCAUUUUUCUUCAAACUCAUGAAAGUUUUUAAAACAUGUGUAUCUUUUCAAAUUUGUGCUUCUUUUCGAUCCAUGAACUUUUUUAAAAUGCAUGAAUAUAUUCAAACCCUUAAACCUUUUCAAAAUUUCUGAAAUUUCUUUUCCAAAAUCCAUGAACUUUUUCCGAGUUCACAAACUUUUUUCCAAAAUCCAUCAACUUUUUUGGAGUUCAUCAACUGUUUUCAAUUCCGCAAAGUUUGUUUUUCAACCCUUGAACUUUUUUCCGUGAAUUUUUUCCAAAAUCCAUGAACUUUUUUUUGAGUUCAUCAACUGUUUUCAAUUCUGCAAAGGUUUUUUUUUCAACCCUUGAACUUUUUUCAAAUCCGUGAAAUUUUUUUAAUAGUGCGAUCUUUUUAAACCCUUGAUUUUUUUGAGUUCGUAAAACUUUUCAAAUCCACGAUUUUUUUGAACUCGUGAACAUUUUUGAGUUCGUGUACCUUUUUUGAAACCGUGAUUUUUUCAGAUUUAGGAUGUUUUUAGAAAUAUACCUGCUUUAGAAAAACACUCUCUCAGAAAAGUCAAUGGGUCAACGGUGAACCGGUUAAUCACGACCAGUGAACUAGGGAAACAACACGUCCCGAGCAGCGAACGGGAGGAGGUAUGGCAAUCAAGUGCGGGACCUCCUAUUGGACGUUCUUUGCAUCAAAGAGUCACCACGCACAGGGAGGCAGUAUGACUGGGCCGGCCCAUCGCACUGUACCGCUGUAAGGAAAAGAGUGCAAAAAAGAGAGGCAUGCUCAAUGGCAGGAUUUGAACCAGCGACGAACAACUUAAGACUGCGUGCUCCUAGCCACUCCAUCUGACUAGCAAUGCUUACAAUAUGUAAUAACAUAGCACAACCGUAUAACCGGAGCUGUCUACUGCAUAGAAAUGGAAUUAGUUACUGUAGCGAACAUCUUUAAAUAGUGUUCAUUUUUUCUGAAAGUGUAUAUUUUGAAAAACUAUGAACAGUUUUUUAAUUUCUGAACAAAUUUUUAUAGAAGGGAACAUUAUUAUGCAUAUGCGAACAAAAAAAUUUGAAACUACAGAUUUUUUUUUGAAAAACGUCAACCAUCUUUGAAGGAACAAAUUAGGAAAUUUUGAACAAAUUUUUAAACCACCACUUUUUUGAAUUUUGAACAAAUAUUUGGAAAAUGGAGCAUUUCAAGAAAUUAUAAAAAAUGGAAACCAUGAACAUUUUUUGAAUUUUUGAACAAAAAGUUCAAAAUGGAACUUCAGGAAAUAUCGAACAAAAAAUUGAAACCGCGAACAUUUUUUAAAAUUCCUGAACAAGUUUUUAAAGGCGAACGUUUUUUAAAUUUUAGAUCAAAUUUUGCAACCGCAAACAUUUUUCAUAAUUCAAAUAUUUUAAAAAGUGGAACAUUUUUUGAAAAUCUGAAAAAAAUUGAAUUAAAAAAUAUCAACUUGAAAAAGAAAAUGUAAAAAAAGAAAAAAUAUAAUAAAAAAUAUAAAGAAACAGCAAAAGGAAAAUAAAAUAAAAAUAAAGAAGAAAAAUAAACAGAAAAAAUAAAAAGUAAAAAACCAAAUACCAAAAAGAAACAGAAAAACCGGCUGGGAAUCUCUAGAAGGUUCUCAAAACCAGAAACGCUGCAACGCUUUAAUGGGCCGGCCCAAGUCGUCGCUCGAACGCCAGGUCUGUGCGAAAUGUCGACACUUUGACGCAACGUCCGGCCCAAAGUAAAUGGGUCAAGGACGACGUAUAAGCAGCAUAUGGAAUAGCGUCGGGCCGCAUGGAUGUUCUUAGGCUGGGCCGCAGUGGAAUUCGAAUUCAAGCAUGCACCCACCACUCUCUCCCCAGCCCCUAAAAAACCCACUCGCUCGCCUUGCUGAAGAAAUUUUCUGACUCAAAAGUUCACUAACUGGUUGUCUACUUUUGCUUUCUUUCUUUUCCUGUUGGAAGACUGCUUUUGCUUUCCGUUUCCAAGUCAAAAUUCUCACCAAUUAUUCACAAAUUGACCAAAAGUUUACACCCGAUCUUUCCCUUCUUACUAAUGACCACGACAACGACGCCCAUUUAUUAUUUAUAUGUGCAAGUCACGCUCAGCCGAAAUCACCAAACACACGGCAAGACGUCGCAUUGAACUUUAGGAAUUCCUCCACACCAAUUAAGAAAGUGACUCUUGCGCAGAUACCACGUCAUUCUUACCAACUGCUAACCCACGCACGGUAAUACUUUAGAAGUUCAAAAAAUGCCACUAAAAAGAAUCAUACAAUUCCAAAAGAAAAAAAAACACGUGCGCAUGCAGUGCCCGCUUGUCCUAUGUAUUUGGAGCAUGUCAAUGAGAAAUAUUUAUUUUUUGGAAAUUGGAUCCGGCCUGUGGUAUAGUAUUAGAUAAAGAGAAUAGCAAACACAACCUUAUAAUUGGGUAACUAAACCCACAUAUGCAGAAAUGACCUUAAACAAAUAAAAUUACCAACAUACUAGGGGCCUCAAAUUAUGCGAAAAUCACGAGCAAUCAUCUUGUUGCUGCUGCUGCUACGACAUCUUAGCUCUCGCCAGUGGUGGAAAACAUCGAGAAAAUUAGGCACCGGACACCUACAAAAGACGAGUAAAUAGCAUAAAACUACUACUUUACAGGUUAGGGUUUCAAAAAACUAUCGAUUUUUAUUUUUUUUCUCAGAUAACUACCAAGUGGGUGGUCGGCUGUUUUAAAAAACCCAAAACAUCUAGUGCUUUAUAAUUGAUCCUGAUUAUGACAAUUGGGACCCGCACGUAUGAAAACUGAUUGUUUGACCGUCUAUUUGACCGUUAACCGAUAUGUGGGGUCCACAUGUCAGCUCUCUUCCCCAUUCACUUCACUCCUCCUGCCUCUCUUCUUCCCCGGGAGAUCGAUGGAGUGCCGGCUGCCGCUCCUUCAACCAGUGGCGGUCGCCCCUCCUUCCACCUCAUCGGCGUCGGCCGGCCGCUCCUCCGCCUCCACUACUGCCCACUCUCCCUGGAACCUCUUCUCCCCCAACGUGACGCCAGCCACGGCCUGCAGACAUGGCGGCAUGUCUCACGAGGCCGCCACGCCCGAGCCGCCAUGGACGCCGCCGCCGGUCAACCACCACGCUCGAGCCAUCGGAGCCGAGGAAGAAGGCGAGCUAGGCAGGAAUCGGUCGCUAGCGGGAGUCAGAAGUGAGGUCGAGGUGCUCCUGCACGAGCUGCCCGCGAGGCCACCGUGCUCCGCGUCCAUGGCGUCGGUGGCGGCGCUGAUGCCGGGCAGGGGAGAGACCGUGGAGUGUGGUGCUGCACUCGUGGGGUUGCUCCGGUGCUCCAGCCACUCGCCCUCCUUUCCCAGCUCAAAUCCCCUACGUAGUUGUGGUCAGCGCUCGGGUCCGAGCUUCUGAGGCCGGCCGCCAUGACUAGGCUCAAGCUCGAGCUCGAGCUCCUGCCUCGCGAGCUUCCUGGCCUGCACUUCCCACACCCGCAAGCCCGCCUUCUGCGCCCAGCCGCAACGGCCAUAGCCGGUGAGCGGUGCUGCCCCCUGGCGCCCAUGCGGAAGGAAGCUCCACGGCGGCGCCAUGGCUGCUCGUCGCGACGGAAGGGAGUAGCACGGCAGCGCCAUGGCUGCUGGCCGGCGACCCUCACGGUGGCGCCAUGGCUGCUGGCCGACGACCCUCACGGCGGCUGCUGGCGCACGGCCACGGGAGGGACCCGAUUGCUUUUUUCAGAAGUUUACAGGUACCCGAUUGCGUUUUUGAAAAGUUUGCAGGGGCCAGAUGGCAUUUUUGAAAAGUUCGCAGACACUGACAUGUGGGACCCACAUGUCAGUUAACGGUCAAACAAACGGUCAAAUAGACGGAUCGUUUAGGUGCGGGCCUGACCUGUCAUAAACCUGUUUAAUUUUUUAACAACGAAGAUUUUGGGUUUUUUUUAAACAGUCGACCACCCACUUGGUAGUUAUCUGAGAAAAAUUAAAAACUGAUAGUUUUUUAAAACCCUAACCUGUAGAGUAGUAGUUUUAUGCUAUUUACUCACAAAAGACAUAUGAAGAUAUUUUAAUUCAGCCACUUAAGAGCAUGGUUAAUAAUAUAGCCAACUGAUUCAACUAGAUGUGGUUGGUAGACAUACACUUGCACUAUUUUACAAAUUGAAGUUUCAAAUUGAAGUUUCUUUGAGCAUUAGACCCGGGGAUGACGACGAUGACGUCCAUUUCAUCACAAUAGUGCGGUUCGGAACGACGCACUAUUCAGAAUUGGAAUUCCUCCAUGAUAAUGCACUCGUCCAUUUCAGCAUCUCUGACUAAAGACUAAAGCUAUCCUCGGCCAGAGUUCCCACAAAUACCGUGGGGUGAAUCACCACUGCACGCUGUGGUACCGUGAGUCCUACCUACGUGUCUAUAAAAUGUCAACACAAAAAUAUUUCCGACCUGAGAAACACACACACACACACACAUACACACACACACACACAAGACAUUUUUGUGGAUUUAUGGCAACUAUAUAGACCCACAAUUUUGUGUGCUUAAUGUAACACACAAACGGAAACCUUUCUUCUUCAAAUUAACACAAAAAAAUGAAUAAUCAAAAUGGGGUUCUCGAUUUGUGUAUGGUCCGCAGGUGGAGCCGGAAAAGCUAGUGUUCUUGCAAGAUUUGGUGGACAUCCGCGACUUGCACGCGGGCCCUUGGGUGGUGGCUGGAGACUUCAACCUGCUGGCUAGGCAGGAAGACAAGAGCAACGCUCUGAUUAACCGUAGAAUGCUGGGAAGGUUUAGAGCCAAGCUAAACUUGCUGGAACUUAAGGAGCUCUAUCUUAAUGGGAGGCGUUAUACAUGGUCGAACGAGAGGCAAAAUGCGACGUUGGAGAAAAUAGACCAUGUGUUUGUCUCCAACGAGUGGGACGAAGCAUUCCCAUCAUGCUUCCUUUCUGCCCUUGGGACAGCGGUUUCGGAUCAUUGUCCACUCAUGUUGAAUAUGAACAUGGACAUAAGUACGCGGAAGAGAUUCAAGUUCGAGGCUUUUUGGAUCAAAGCGGAGGGGUUCAUGGACACGGUACGGAUGGCAUGGGACUCAACCCCGGUGGCUACAAAUGACUACCUAACACUCCAUAACAAGCUGAGGGCAACGGCGAUCAGCCUUCAACGGUGAAGCGCUCGAUGGAUUGGGAAUGUGAAACUACAAAUAUUGAUUGCAAUGGAGGUCAUCAAGCAGUUGGAUACGGCCAUGGAAUCUAGGGCGCUGUCGGAUGCGGAGCGGGAUUUGAGGAGUUGUUUGAAGAGGAAGCUACUUGGGUUAUGCUCUCUGGAGAGAACCAUUGCAAGGCAGCUAUCGAGAUUACUACAGUUGCGAGAGGGAGACGGGAGUACAAGGCUUUUCCAUCAGCAAGCAAGCCAUUGGCAAAGAAAAAACAUCCUACGGAUGGUAAAGUACAAUGGGAACAUCUACUCCGGGCAGGCCGAGGUGGCGUCCGCGGUGGACGCGCAUUUUGGUGCGGCCUUUGGCAGCGCUAUUCCUAGGAACUACACACUUAACCUAAGUGAGUUGAGCUUGCCGCAACUGGGUCUAUCUCAGUUGGAGGAACCUUUCACAUAUGAGGAAGUGGAAAAUGUCAUCAAAGCUAUGCCUCCGGAUAAGGCGCCGGGACCGGAUGGGUUCACUGGCUGUUUUUACGCCACAUGCUGGAACAUUGUAUGGGAUGAUUUCAUGAAGGCCAUGAACUGUUUCUACAAUGGGGAUGUUCGUGGAAUGGCUGCAAUAAACAAGUCCCUAGUGACUCUUUUACCAAAGAAGGAUGGUGCUAUCGAGGUGACAGAUUUCAGGCCGAUCAACCUCGUCCAUGGGGCUAUCAAAAUCUUUGAGAAAGUGCUUGCGUGCAGAUUGGUGAUGCAGUUGCCAAAGCUUGUGGGUAAUCAUCAGAGUGCGUUCGUCAAGGGCAGAUCCCUACACGACAACUUCAUGUUGGUGCAAUGUACUGCUCGCAGGCUUAAUGCCCUACGGAACCCAGCAGUGCUGCUCAAGUUGGAUAUAUCGAAGGCUUUUGAUUCUGUCCAAUGGCCUUUUCUGAUUGAGGUGAUGCAGCAUCUUGGAUUUGGGCCUAGGUGGAGGUCGUGGAUCUGUGGGAUUCUUGCUACAUCCACCACCAAGGUCAUGGUGAAUGGAGACCCCGGAGACACCAUUUACAACUGCAAGGGGCUUAGGCAAGGCGACCCGAUAUCGCCAAUGCUUUUCAUCCUCACCAUGGAGCCUCUUCAAAGGAUGUUUGAGCUAGCCACGAGGAGGGGCAUUUUGGAGCCUUUGGCGCGUGCUGGGGUAAGGCAACGUUUAUCCAUCUUUGCGGAUGAUGUGGUGGUGUUCAUCAAGCCAAAACCGUUGGAGCUGGAGAUUAGUAAGCGAAUCUUUGAGAUGUUUGGGGAAGCGUCGGGUCUGCGGAUAAACAUGGCAAAGUCAGUUGUUCUUCCUAUAAGAUGCAAUGAUCAGGAAAUCACAUUCGCAAGCAUGGAGCUGGGAUGCUCGAGAGGAUCAUUCCCAAUCAAGUACUUGGGUUUACCUCUGUCUCUAAGAAAGCAAUCACCGGCGCAGCUGCAAUACCUUGUGGAUCAGAUGGCGAAUUGUUUACCGAGGUGGAAGGGCACUUAUGCCAAAAAGUGGGCGUCUAACUCUGGUCCAGUCAGUUCUAUGCGCCAUGCCCAUACAUGCCAUGAUGGCUUUGGAUCUUCGAUGAAGACUAUUGCUGCGAUGAACAAAGUGUGCAGAGGCUUUCUUUGGUGCCGGAGGGCCGUUGCCAAUGGCGGAAAUUGCGCGGUCGCCUGGGACUCGGUGUGCACACCGAAAUGGGCAGGGGGCCUGGGGCUGCCGAAUCUUAGAUGGCUGAAUGUGGCUAUGCAGGCCCGGUGGCCGUGGCUGCAACGGGCGGACGUAUGUAGGCCAUGGAAUGAAUUUAACAUCCGAGUUCCAAGGGAAGUGAAAAGACUAUUCCUGGCAGCAACAAGGAGCGUAGCUAAUGCUGGGCUCAACACACUUUUUUGGGAAGAUCGUUGGAUCGAUGGCCUGAGGGUUCAAGACAUUGCGCCAAAUAUCUAUGGCCGAAUCUCGCGGAGAGUCAGAUCGACGAGACUUGUGGCGCAUGCCAUUGCGGAUGGGUCUUGGGCAUUGGAUGUUGGCCCCGAGAUAGGAGAUGAAGCUCUACAGGAAUUCCUCUCGUUAUGGGUCAGACUGAGUGUGUGGGAGCCUAACGUGGAUAUGCCGGAUACGAUCUCUUGGGCAUGGGAGACUAAUGGACAGAACUCGGUGAGGUCGACAUACGCGGCAAUGUUUUGGGGCAGGAUUGUCGAGCCCAUGGCGGAGCUGACCUGGAAGUCUAGGGCGCCUUCCACUUGCAAGUUCUUCACGUGGCUUGCGCUGAGGGACCGAUGUUGGACCUCGGAUAGACUUGCAUGGCGAGGACUACCGCAUCAGGACGCAUGCCCUUUGUGAAACCAGGAGGAAGAAAUGAUAAACCAUGUGCUUCUGACAUGCGUGUUUGCCAGAUCGGUUUGGGCCGUCAUAUGUCAAGCUUUGGGCAAGCUGGACUGGACACCAACGGCGCAGGAUUCCCUUGGACCAUGGCUUAGGGAGAAGCAGGAGCCUCAUGGCCUACAACGGAAGGAUCUACACACGAUUUUCAUCCUAACGCUUUGGGAAUUAUGGAAGCAUCGCAAUGCGAUUGUGUUCGACGGAGCGUCGCCAUCGAUGAGUGAACUUCUGGGUAGGGUCAGGUCAGAGGGCAUGACUUGGCAGAGUGCCGGCAAGUUUAAAAGCAACGUUGAGGAGUUCUUCCGUGGUUUGUUUAGGUGGGCUAGUAGUGAGUGUUGGGUUUCGUAGUAAUUUCAAAAAAAUUCCUACACGCACGCAAGAUCAUGGUGAUGCAUAGCAACGAGAGGGGAGAGUGUGAUCUACGCACCCUUGUAGAUCGACAACGGAAGCGUUUGGUUGACCGAUCAAGUACCGAAACUACGGCACCUCCGAGUUCUAGCACACGUUCAGCUCGAUGACGAUCCCUGGACUCCGAUCCAGCAAAGUGUCGGGGAAGAGUUCCGUUAGCACGACGGCGUGGUGACGAUCUUGAUGCACUACCGUCGCAGGGCUUCGCCUAAGCACCGCUACAAUAUUAUCGAGGACUAUGGUGGAAGGGGGCACCGCACACGGCUAAGAAUAUGAUCACGUGGAUCAACUUGUGUCUAUGGGGUGCCCCCUGCCCCCGUAUAUAAAGGAGCAAGGGGGAGGCCGGCUGGCCCUUGUGGGCGCGCCAAGGAGGAGUAGGAUUCCUACUCCUAGUUGGAGUAGGUUUCCACCUUUCCUAGUCCAACUAGGAGAAGGGGGGAAAUGGGAGAAGAGGGGAAGGAAGGGAGAGAGGGGCCGUGCCCCAAACCCCUUGUCCAAUUCGGACUGGGCUUGGGAGGGGCGCGCGCCACCUCCUGGUCCUUUCCACUAAGGCCCAUUGCUUCUUCCUCGUAUUCCCGUAACUCCCCGGUACCUCCGAAAAUACCCGAAUCACUCGGAACCUUUACGAUGUCCGAAUAUAGUCGUCCAAUAUAUCGAUCUUUACGUCUCGACCAUUUCGAGACUCCUCAUCAUGUCCCCGAUCUCAUCCGGGACUCCGAACUCCUUCGGUACAUCAGAACUCAUAAACUCAUAAAAUAACUGUCAUCGAAACCUUAAGCGUGCGGACCCUACGAGUUCGAGAACAAUGUAGACCUGACCGAGACACGUCUCCGGUCAAUAACCAAUAGCGGAACCUGGAUGCUCAUAUUGGCUCCCACAUAUUCUACGAAGAUCUUUAUCGGUCAGACCGCAUAACAACAUACUUUGUUCCCUUUGUCAUCGGUAUGUUACUUGCCCGAGAUUCGAUCGUCGGUAUCUCAAUACCUAGUUCAAUCUCGUUACCGCCAAGUCUCUUUACUCGUUCCGUAAUACAUCAUCUCGCAACUAACUCAUUAGUUGCAAUGCUUGCAAGGCUUAUGUGAUGUGCAUUACCGAGAGGGCCCAGAGAUACCUCUCCGACAAUCGGAGUGACAAAUCCUAAUCUAGAAAUACGCCAACCCAACAUUUACCUUUGGAGACACCUGUAGAGCUCCUUUAUAAUCACCCAGUUACGUUGUGACGUUUGGUAGCACAUAAAGUGUUCCUCCGGCAAACGGGAGUUGCAUAAUCUCAUAGUCAUAGGAACAUGUAUAAGUCAUGAAGAAAGCAAUAGCAACAUACUAAACGAUCGGGUGCUAAGCUAAUGGAAUGGGUCAUGUCAAUCACAUCAUUCUCCUAAUGAUGUAAUCCCGUUAAUCAAAUGACAACUCAUGUCAUGGUUAGGAAACAUAACCAUCUUUGAUCAACGAGCUAGUCAAGUAGAGGCAUACUAGUGACACUCUGUUUGUCUAUGUAUUCACACAUGUAUUAUGUUUCCGGUUAAUACAAUUCUAGCAUGAAUAAUAAACAUUUAUCAUGAUAUAAGGAAAUAAAUAAUAACUUUAUUAUUGCCUCUAGGGCAUAUUUCCUUCAGUCUCCCACUUGCACUAGAGUCAAUAAUCUAGAUCACAUCACCAUGUGAUUAACAUCGAUAGUUCACAGCAUCAUGUGAUUAACACCCAUAGUUCACAUCGCCAUGUGACCAACACCGAAAGGGUUUACUAGAUUCAGUAAUCUAGUUCACAUCGCUAUGUGAUUAACACCCAAAGAGUACUAAGGUGUGAUCAUGUUUUGCUUGUGAGAGAAUUUUAGUCAACGGGUCUGCCAUAUUCAGAUCCGUAUGUAUUUUGCAAAUAUCUAUGUCAACAAUGCUCUGCACGGAGCUACUCUAGCUAAUUGCUCCCACUUUUAAUAUGUAUCCAGAUUGAGACUUAAAGUUAUCUAGAUCAGUGUAAAAACUUGCAUCGAUGUAACUCUUUAUGACGAACCUUUUGUCACCUCCAUAAUCGAGAAACAUAUCCUUAUUCCACUAAGGAUAAUUUUGACCGCUGUCCAGUGAUCUACUCCUAGAUCACUAUUGUACUCCCUUGCCAAAAUCAGUGUAGGGUAUACAAUAGAUCUGGUACACAGCAUGGCAUACUUUAUAGAACCUAUGGCUGAGGCAUAGGGAAUAACUUUCAUUCUCUUUCUAUCUUCUGUCGUGGUCGGGCUUUGAGUCUUACUCAAUUUCAUACCUUGUAACACAGGUAAGAACCCUUUCUAUGACUGUUCCAUUUUGAACUACUUCAAAAUCUUGUCAAGGUAUGUACUCAUUGAAAAAAAACUUAUCAAGCGUCUUGAUCUAUCUCUAUAGAUCUUGAUGCUCAAUAUGUAAGCAGCUUCACCGAGGUCUUUCUUUGAAAAACUCCUUUCAAACACUCCUUUAUGCUUUGCAGAAUAAUUCUACAUUAUUUCCGAUCAACAAUAUGUCAUUCACAUAUACUUAUCAGAAAUGUUGUAGUGCUCCCACUCACUUUCUUGUAAAUACAGGCUUCACCGCAAGUCUGUAUAAAUCUAUAUGCUUUGAUCAUACUAUCAAAGCGUUUAUUCCAACUCCGAGAUGCUUGCACCAGUCCAUAGAUGGAUCGCUGGAGCUUGCUUAUUUUGUUAGCACCUUUAGGAUUGACAAAACCUUCUGGUUGCAUCAUAUACAACUCUUUCUUUAAGAAAUCCAUUAAGGAUUGCAGUUUUGUUAUCCAUUUGCCAGAUUUCAUAAAAUGCGGCAAUUGCUAACAUGAUUUGGACAGACUUUUAAGCAUCGAUACGAGUGAGAAAAUCUCAUCGUAGUCAACACCUUGAACUUUGUCAAAAACCUUUUGCGACAAUUCUGGCUUUUUAGAUAGUAACACUACUAUCAGCGUACGUCUUCCUCUUGAAGAUCCAUUUAUUUUCUAUGGCUUGCCGAUCAUCGGGCAAGUCAACCAAAGUCCAUACUUUGUGCUCAUACAUGGAUCCCAUCUCAGAUUUCAUGGCCUCAAGCCAUUUUGCGGAAUCUGGGCUCACCAUCGCUUCUUCAUAGUUCGCAAGUUCGUCAUGGUCUAGUAACAUGACUUCCAGAACAGGAUUACCGUACCACUCUGGUGCGGAUCUCACUCUGGUUUACCUACGAGAUUCGGUAGUAACUUGAUCUGAAGUUACAUGAUCAUCAUCAUUAGCUUCCUCACUAAUUGGUGUAGUAGUCACAAGAACAGGUUUCUGUGAUGAACUACUUUCCAAUAAGAGAGAUGGUACAAUUACCUUAUCAAGUUUUCUACUUUCCUCCCACUCACUUCUUUCGAGAGAAACUCCUUCUCUGGAAAGGAUCCAUUCUUAGCAAUGAAUGUCUUGCCUUCGGAUCUGUGAUAGAAGGUGUACCCAAUAGUCUCCUUUGGGUAUCCUAUGAAGACAUAUUUCUCCAAUUUGGGUUUGAGGUUAUCAGGAUGAAACUUUUUCAUAUAAGCAUCACAAUCCCAAACUUUAAAAACGACAACUUUGGUUUCUUGCCAAACCACAAUUCAGAUUGUGUCGUCUCAACGGACUUAGAUGGUGCCCUAUUUAACGUGAAUGUAGCUGUCUCUAAUGCAUAACCCCAAAACAAUAGCGGCAAAUCUGUAAGAGACAUCAUAGAUCGCACUAUAUCAAAUAAAGUACGAUUACGACGUUCGAACACACCAUUACACUGUGGUGUUCCAGGUGGCGUGAGUAGUGAAACUAUUUCACAUUGUUUUAACUGAAGACCAAACUCGUAAUUCAAAUACUCUUCUCCACGAUUAGAUCGUAGAAACUUUAUUUUCUUAUUACGAUGAUUUUCCACUUCACUCUAAAAUUCUUUGAACUUUUCAAAUGUUUCAGACUUAUGUUUCAUCAAGUAGAUAUACUCACAUCUGCUCAAAUUAUCUGUGAAGAACAGAAAAAUAAUGAUACCUGUCGUGAGCCUCAAUAUUCAUCGGACCACAUAUAUCAGUAUGUAUGAUUUCCAACAAAUCUGUUGCUCGCUCCAUUGUUCCGAAGAACGGAGUCUUAGUCAUCUUGCCCAUGAGGCAUGGUUCGCAAGCAUCAACUGAUUCAUAAUCAAGUGAUUUCAAAAGCCCAUCAGCAUGGAGUUUCUUCAUGCGCUUUACACCAAUAUGACCUAAACGGCAGUGCCACAAAUAAGUUUGCACUAUCAUUAUUAACUUUGCAUCUUUUGGUUUCAAUAGUAUGUUUAUGUGUAUCACUACGAUCGAGAUCCAACGAACUAUUUUCAUUGGGUGUGUAACCAUUGUUGGGGAACGUUGCAGAAAACAAAAAAUUUCCUACGGUCACCAAGAUCCAUCUAGGAGUUCAUCUAGCAACGAGUGAUUGGAUUGCAUCUACAUACCUUUGUAGAUCACGCGCGGAAGCGUUCAAAGAACGGGGAUGAGGAAGGCGUACUCGACGUGAUCCAAAUCACCGGAGAUCCUAGCGCCGAACGGACGGCACCUCCGCGUUCAACACACGUACGGUCAGCGUGACGUCUCCUUCUUCUUGAUCCAGCAAGGGGGAAGGAGAGGUUGAGGAAGAUGGCUCCAACAGCAGCACGACGGCGUGGUGGUGAUGUAGCUGUACUCCGGCAGGGCUUCGCCAAGCACUAUGGAGGAGGAGGAUGUGUUGGAGAGGGAGAGGGAGGCACCAAAGGCGUGGAUUGAGAGGCCCUCCUUCCCCCACUAUAUAUAGGGAGCCUAGGGGGGGCGCCGGCCCUAGGAGAUCCAAUCUCCUAGGGGGGCGGCGGCCAAGGGAGGAAUCCCUCCUCCCCAAGGCACCUAGGAGGUGCCUUCCCCUUUUGGGACUCUUCCCUUCCUUAUCUCUUGGCGCAUGGGCUUCUUGGGGCUGGUGCCCUUGGCCCAUACAGGCCAAGGCGCAUCCCCUACAGCCCAUGUGCCCCCCCGGGGCAGGUGGCCCCACCCGGUGGACCCCCGGGACCCUUCCGGUGGUCCCGGUACAAUACCGGUGACCCCGAAACUUGUCUCGAUGGCCGAAAUAGCACUUCCUAUAUAUAAUUCUUUACCUCCGAACCAUUCCGGAACUCCUCGUGACGUCCAGGAUCUCAUCCGGGACUCCGAACAACAUUCGGGUUACUGCAUAUACAUAUCCCUACAACCCUAGCGUCACCGAACCUUAAGUGUGUAGACCCUACGGGUUCGGGAGACAUGUAGACAUGACCGAGAUCACUCUCCGGUCAAUAACCAACAGUGGGAUCUGGAUACCCAUGUUGGAUCCCACAUGCUCCUCGAUGAUCUCAUCGUAUGAACCACGAUGUCGAGGAUUCAAGCAACCCCGUAUACAAUUCCCUUUGUCAAUCGGUAUGUUACUUGCCCGAGAUUCGAUCGUCGGUAUCCCAAUACCUCGUUCAAUCUCAUUACCGGCAAGUCACUUUACUCGUACUGUAAUGCAUGAUCCCGUGACCAGACACUUGGUCACUUUGAGCUCAUAAUGAUGAUGCAUUACCGAGUGGGCCCAGUGAUACCUCUCUGUCAUACGGAGUGACAAAUCCCAGUCUUGAUCCGUGUCAACCCAACAGACACUUUUGGAGAUACCCGUAGUAUACCUUUAUAGUCACCCAGUUACGUUGUGACGUUUGGUACACCCAAAGCACUCCUACGGUAUCCGGGAGUUACACGAUCUCAUGGUCUAAGGAAAGGAUACUUGACAUUGGGAAAACUCUAGCAAACGAACUAUACGAUCUUAUGCUAUGUUUAGGAUUGGGUCUUGUCCAUCACAUCAUUCUCCUAAUGAUGUGAUCUCGUUAUCAAUGACAUCCAAUGUCCAUAGUCAGGAAACCAUGACUAUCUGUUGAUCAACGAGCUAGUCAACUAGAGGCUUACUAGGGACAUGUUGGUGUCUAUUAUUCACACAUGCAUUACGAUUUCCGGAUAACACAAUUAUAGCAUGAAUAAAGACAAUUAUCAUGAACAAGGAAAUAUAAUAAUAAUGUUUUUAUUAUUGCCUCUAGGGCAUAUUUCCAAUAGUCUCCCACUUGCACUAGAGUCAAUAAUCUAGUUACACUGUGAUGAAUCGAACACCCAUGGAAUUCUGGUGUUGAUCAUGUUUUGCUCUAGGGAAAGGUUUAGUCAACGGAUCUGCUACAUUCAGGUCCGUAUGUACUUUACAAAUAUCUAUGUCUCCAUCUUGAACAUUUUCACGAAUGGAGUUGAAGCGGAGCUUGAUGUGCCUUGUCUUCUUGUGAAACCUGGGCUCCUUGUCAAGAGCAAUAGCUCCAGUGUUGUCACAGAAGAGCUUGAUCGGCCCCGACGCAUUGGGUAUGACUCCUAGGUCGGUGAUGAACUCCUUCACCCAAAUUGCUUCAUGCGCUGCCUCCGAGGCUGCCAUGUACUCCGCUUCACAUGUAGAUCCCGCCACGAUGCUCUGCUUGCAACUGCACCAGCUUACUGCCCCACCAUUCAAAAUAUACACGUAUCCGGUUUGUGACUUAGAGUCAUCCAGAUCUGUGUCGAAGCUAGCGUCGACGUAACCCUUUACGACGAGCUCUUCGUCACCUCCAUAAACGAGAAACAUUUCCUUAGUCCUUUUCAGGUACUUCAGGAUAUUCUUGACCGCUGUCCAGUGUUCCUUGCUGGGAUUACUUUGAUACCUUCCUACCAAACUUACGGCAAGGUUUACAUCAGGUCUGGUACACAGCAUGGCAUACAUAAUAGAACUUAUGGCUGAGGCAUAGGGGAUGACACUCAUCUCUUCUAUAUCUUCUGCCGUGGUCGGACAUUGAGCUGAGCUCAAUUUCACACCUUGUAACACAGGCAAGAACCCCUUCUUAGACUGAUCCAUAUUGAACUUCUUCAAUAUCUUAUCAAGGUAUGUGCUUUGUGAAAGACCUAUGAGGCGUCUUGAUCUAUCUCUGUAGAUCUUGAUGCCUAAUAUAUAAGCAGCUUCUCCAAGGUCCUUCAUUGAAAAACUCUUAUUCAAGUAGGCCUUAAUGCUGUCCAAGAGUUCCAUAUCAUUUCCCAUCAAAAGUAUGUCAUCUACAUAUAAUAUGAGAAAUGCUACAGAGCUCCCACUCACUUUCUUGUAAACGCAGGCUUCUCCAUAAGUCUGUGUAAACCCAAACGCUUUGAUCAUCUCAUCAAAGCGAAUGUUCCAACUCCGAGAUGCUUGCACCAGCCCAUAAAUCGAGCGUUGGAGCUUGCACACCUUGUCAGCAUUCUUAGGAUCGACAAAACCUUCCGGCUGCAUCAUAUACAAUUCUUCCUUAAGGAAACCAUUAAGGAAUGCCGUUUUGACGUCCAUUUGCCAUAUCUCAUAAUCAUAGAAUGCGGCAAUUGCUAACAUGAUUUGGACGGACUUUAGCUUCGCUACCGGUGAGAAAGUCUCAUCGUAGUCAACCCCUUGAACUUGUCGAUAACCCUUAGCGACAAGCCGAGCUUUAUAGAUGGUCACAUUACCAUCAGCGUCUGUCUUCUUCUUAAAGAUCCAUUUAUUUUCUAUGGCUCGCCGCUCAAUGGGAAAGUCAGUCAAAGUCCAUACUUCGUUUUCAUACAUGGAUCCUAUCUCGGAUUUCAUGGCUUCUAGCCAUUUUUCGGAAUCCGGGCCCGCCAUCGCUUCUUCAUAGUUCGAAGGUUCACCGUUGUCUAACAACAUGAUUUCCAGGACAGGGUUGCCGUACCACUCUGGUGCAGAACGUGUCCUUGUGGACCUACGAAUUUCAGUAGGAGCUUGAUCAGAAGUAUCUUGAUUAUCAUCAUUAACUUCCUCUCUAGUCGGUGCAGGCACCUCAGGAACAUUUUCUUGAGUUGCGCCAUUUUCCGGUUCAAGAGGUAAUACUUCAUCAAGUUCUACUUUCCUCCCACUUACUUCUUUCGAGAGAAACUCUUUCUCUAGAAAGGAUCCAUUCUUGGCAACAAAGAUCUUGCCUUCGGAUCUGAGGUAGAAGGUAUACCCAAUAGUUUCUUUAGGGUAUCCUAUGAAGACACAUUUUUCCGACUUGGGUUCGAGCUUUUCAGGUUGAAGUUUCUUGACAUAAGCAUCGCAUCCCCAAACUUUUAGAAACGACAGCUUAGGUUUCUUCCCAAACCAUAGUUCAUACGGUGUCGUCUCAACGGAUUUCGACGAAGCCCUAUUUAAAGUGAAUGUGGCAGUCUCUAAAGCAUUGCCCCAAAAAGAUAGCGGUAAAUCGGUAAGAGACAUCAUAGAUCGCACCAUAUCUAAUAGAGUGCGAUUACGAUGUUUGGACACACCAUUAUGCUGAGGUGUUCCAGGCGGCGUGAGUUGUGAAACUAUUCCACAUUUUCUUAAGUGUGUGCCAAACUCGUGACUCAAGUAUUCUCCUCCACGAUCCGAUCGCAGGAACUUGAUUUUCCUGUCACGUUGAUUUUCAACCUCACUCUGAAAUUCCUUGAACUUUUCAAAGGUCUCAGACUUGUGUUUCAUUAAAUAGACAUACCCAUAUCUACUCAAGUCAUCAGUGAGGGUGAGAACAUAACGAUAGCCACCGCGAGCCUCAACACUCAUUGGACCGCACACAUCAGUAUGUAUGAUUUCCAAUAAGUUGGUUGCUCGCUCCAUUGUUCCUGAGAAUGGAGUCUUGGUCAUUUUACCCAUGAGGCAUGGUUCACACGUGUCAAAUGAUUCGUAAUCAAGAGACUCUAAAAGUCCAUCAGCAUGGAGCUUCUUCAUGCGUUUGACACCUAUGUGACCAAGGCGGCAGUGCCACAAGUAUGUGGGACUAUCAUUAUCAACCUUACAUCUUUUGGUACUCACACUAUGAAUAUGUGUGUAGCAUUACGCUCGAGAUUCAUUAAGAAUAAACCAUUCACCAUCGGAGCAUGACCAUAAAACAUAUCUCUCAUAUAAAUAGAACAACCAUUAUUCUCGGAUUUAAAUGAGUAGCCAUCUCGUAUUAAACGAGAUCCUGAUACAAUGUUCAUGCUCAAAGCUGGCACUAAAUAACAAUUAUUGAGGUUUAAAACUAAUCCCGUAGGUAAAUGAAGAGGCAGCGUGCCGACGGCGAUCACAUCGACCUUGGAACCAUUCCCGACGCGCAUCGUCACCUCGUCCUUUGCCAGUCUCCGCUUAUUCCGCAGCUCCUGCUUUGAGUUACAAAUGUGAGCAACUGCAUCGGUAUCAAAUACCCAGGAGCUACUACGAGUACUGGUAAGGUACACAUCAAUUACAUGUAUAUCACAUAUACCUUUCGUUUUGCCGGCCUUCUUGUCUGCUAAGUAUUUGGGGCAGUUCCACUUCCAGUGACCACUUUCCUUGCAAUAAAAGCACUCAGUCUCGGGCUUGGGUCCAUUCUUUGGCUUCUUCCCGGCAGCUUGUUUGCCGGGCGCGGCAACUCCCUUGCCGUCCUUCUUGAAGGCUUUCUUACCCUUGCCCUUCUUGAACUUAGUGGUUUUAUUCACCAUCAACACUUGAUGUUCCUUUUUGACUUCUACCUCUGCUGAUUUCAACAUUGCAAAUACUUCAGGAAUGGUCUUUUCCAUUCCCUGCAUAUUGAAGUUCAUCACAAAGCUCUUGUAGCUCGGUGGAAGCGACUGAAGGAUUCUGUCAAUGACUGCGUCAUCCGGGAGAUUAACUCCCAGCUGAGUCAAGCGGUUAUGUAACCCAGACAUAGUGAGUAUGUGCUCACUGACAGAACUGUUUUCCUCCAUCUUACAGCUGAAGAACUUGUCAGAGACUUGAUAUCUCUCGACCCGGGCAUGAGCUUGGAAAACCAUUUUCAGCUCUUCGAACAUCUCAUAUGCUCCGUGUCUCUCAAAACGCUUUUGGAGCCCCGGCUCUAAGCUGUAAAGCAUGCCGCACUGAACGAGGGAGUAGUCAUCGGUACGUGCCUGCCAAGCGUUCAUAACGUCUUGUUCUGUAGGGAGAACAGGUGCGUCACCCAGCGGUGCUUCUAGGACAUAAUCUUUCUUGGCAGCUAUGAGGAUGAUCCUCAGGUUCCGGACCCAGUCCGUGUAGUUGCUGCCAUCGUCUUUCAGCUUGAUUUUCUCUAGGAACGCGUUGAAGUUGAGGACUACGUUGGCCAUUUGAUCUACAAGACAUAUUGUAAAUAUUUUAGACUAAGUUCAUGAUAAUUAAGUUCAUCUAAUCAAAUUAUUCAAUGAACUCCCACUUAGAUAGACAUCCCUCCUGUAAUCUAAGUAUAACAUGAUCCGAGUUAACUAGGCCGUGUCCGAUCAUCACGUGAGACGGACUAGUCAACAUCGGUGAACAUCUUCAUGUUGAUCGUAUCUUCUAUACGACUCAUGCUCGACCUUUCGGUCUUCUGUGUUCCGAGGCCAUGCCUGUACAUGCUAGGCUCGUCAAGUCAACCUAAGUGUUUGCAUGUGUAAAUCUGUCUUACACCCGUUGUAUGUGAACGUUAGAAUCUAUCACACCCGAUCAUCACGUGGUGCUUCGAAACAACGAACUGUCGCAACGGUGCACAGUUAGGGGGAACACUUUCUUGAAAUUUUUAUGAGGGAUCAUCUUAUUUACUACCGUCGUUCUAAGUAAACAAGAUGCAAAAACAUGAUAAAUAUCAUAUGCAAUCAAAUAAUAAUAGUGACAUGAUAUGGCCAAUAUCACAUAGCUCCUUUGAUCUCCAUCUUGGGGCUCCAUGAUCAUCUUGUCACUGGCAUGACACCAUGAUCUCCAUCAUCGUGUCUCCAUGAAGUUGCUCGCCAACUAUUACUUCUACUACUAUGGCUAACACGUUUAGCAAUAAAGUAAAGUAAUUUACAUGGCGUUUCUCAAUGACACGCAGGUCAUACAAAAAAUAAAGACAACUCCUAUGGCUCCUGCCGGUUGUCAUACUCAUCGACAUGCAAGUCGUGAUUCCUAUUACAAUAGCAUGAACAUCUCAUACAUCACAUAUAUAUCAUUCAUCAUUCAUCACAACUUUGGCCAUAUCAUAUCACAAAGCACUUGCUGCAAAAACAAGUUAGACGUCCUCUAAUUGUUGUUGCAAGUUUUACGUGGCUGAAGUAGGGUUCUAGCAAGAACGUUUUCUUACCUACGUGAAAGCCACAAUGUGAUUUUUCAACUUCUAUUUACCCUUCAUAAGGACCCUUUUCAUCGAAUCGGCUCCAACUAAAGUGGGAGAGACAGACACCCGCCAGCCACCUUAUGCAACUAGUGCAUGUUAGUCGGUGGAACCGGUCUCACGUAAGCGUACGUGUAAGGUUGGUCCAGGCCGCUUCAUCCCACAAUACCGUUGAAGCAAGAUAAGACUAGUAGCGGCAAGAAAGUUGACAACAUCAACGCCCACAACAAAUUGUGUUCAACUCGUGCAAGAGAACUACGCAUAGACCUAGCUCAUGAUGCCACUGUUGGGGAACGUUGCAGAAAACAACAAAUUUCCUACGGUCACCAAGAUCCAUCUAGGAGUUCAUCUAGAAACGAGUGAUUGGAUUGCAUCUACAUACCUUUGUAGAUCACGCGCGGAAGCAUUCAAAGAACGGGGAUGAGGAAGGCGUACUCGACGUGAUCCAAAUCACCGGAGAUCCUAGCGCCGAACGGACGGCACCUCCGCGUUCAACACACGUAUGGUCAGCGUGACGUCUCCUUCUUCUUGAUCCAGCAAGGGGGAAGGAGAGGUUGAGGAAGAUGGCUCCAACAGAAGCACGACGAUGUGGUGGUGAUGUAGCUGCAGUACUCCGGCAGGGCUUCGCCAAGCACUAUGGAGGAGGAGGAUGUGUUGGAGAGGGAGAGGGAGGCACCAAAGGCGUGGAUUGAGAGGCCCUCCUUCCCCCACUAUAUAUAGGGAGCCUAGGGGGGGCACCGGCCCUAGGAGAUCCAAUCUCCUAGGGGGGCGGCGGCCAAGGGAGGAAUCCCUCCUCCCCAAGGCACCUAGGAGGCGCCUUCCCCUUUUGGGACUCUUCCCUUCCUUAUCUCUUGGCGCAUGGGCUUCUUGGGGCUGGUGCCCUUGGCUCAUACAGGCCAAGGCGCACCCCCCACAGCCCAUGUGCCCCCCCGGGGCAGGUGGCCCCACCCGGUGGACCCCCGGGACCCUUCCAGUGGUCCCGGUACAAUACCGGUGACCCCGAAACUUGUCCCAAUGGCCGAAAUCGCACUUCCUAUAUAUAAUUCUUUACCUCCGGACCAUUCCGGAACUCCUCGUGACGUCCGGGAUCUCAUCUGGGACUCCGAACAACAUUCGAGUUACUGCAUAUACAUAUCCCUACAACCCUAGCAUCACCGAACCUUCAGUGUGUAGACCCUACGGGUUCGGGAGACAUGUAGACAUGACCGAGAUCACUCUCCGGUUAAUAACCAACAGCGGGAUCUGGAUACCCAUGUUGGCUCCCACAUGCUCCUCGAUGAUCUCAUCGGAUGAACCACGAUGUCGAGGAUUCAAGCAACCCCGUAUACAAUUCCCUUUGUCAAUCGGUAUGUUACUUGCCCGAGAUUCGAUCGUCGGUAUCCCAAUACCUCGUUCAAUCUCGUUACCGGCAAGUCACUUUACUUGUACCGUAAUGCAUGAUCCCGUGACCAGACACUUGGUCACUUUGAGCUCAUAAUGAUGAUGCAUUACCGAGUGGGCCCAGUGAUACCUCUCCGUCAUACGAGUGACAAAUCCCAGUCUUGACCCGUGUCAACCCAACAGACACUUUCGGAGAUACCCGUAGUAUACCUUUAUAGUCACCCAGUUACGUUGUGACGUUUGGUACACCCAAAGCACUCCUACAGUAUCCGGAAGUUACACGAUCUCAUGGUCUAAGGAAAUGAUACUUGACAUUGGGAAAACUCUAGCAAACGAACUAUAUGAUCUUAUGCUAUGUUUAGGAUUGGGUCUUGUCCAUCACAUCAUUCUCCUAAUGAUGUGAUCUCGUUAUCAAUGACAUCCAAUGUCCAUAGUCAGGAAACCAUGACUAUAUGUUGAUCAACGAGCUAGUCAACUAGAGGCUUACUAGGGACAUGUUGGUGUCUAUUAUUCACACAUGCAUUACGAUUUCCGGAUAACACAAUUAUAGCAUGAAUAAAGACAAUUAUCAUGAAAAAGGAAAUAUAAUAAUAAUGCUUUUAUUAUUGCCUCUAGGGCAUAUUUCCAACAACCAUAUAAGGUUUUAUUCAUGUAAACAGAACAACAAUUUAUUCUCUUACUUAAAUGAAUAACCGUAUUGCAAUAAACAUGAUCAAAUCAUAUUCAUGCUUAACGCAAACACCAAAUAACACUUAUUUAGGUUAAACACUAAUCCCGAAAGUAUAGGGAGUGUGCGAUGAUGAUCAUAUCAAUCUUGGAACUACUUCCAACACACAUCGUCACUUCACCCUUAACUAGUUUCUGUUCAUUCUACAACUCCCGUUUCGAGUUACUACUCUUAGCAACUGAACCAGUAUCAAAUACCGAGGGGUUUCUCCGAACACUAGUAAAAUACACAUUAAUAAUGUGUAUAUCAAAUAUACCUUUGUUCACUUUGCCAUCCUUCUUAUCCUCCAAAUACUUGGGGCAGUUCCGCUUCCAGUGACCAGUCCCUUUGCAGUAGAAGCACUUAGUCUCAGGCUUAGGACCAGACUUGGGCUUCUUCACUUGAGCAGCAACUUGCUUGCCGUUCUUCUUGAAGUUCCCCUUCUUCCCUUUGCCCUUUUAUUGAAACUAGUGGUCUUGUCUACCAUCAACACUUGAUGCUCUUUCUUGAUUUCUACCUUCAUCGAUUUCAUCAUCAUGAAAAGCUCGGGAGUCGUUUUCGUCAUCCCUUGCAUACUAUAGUUCAUCACGAAGUUCUACUAACUUGGUGAUGGUGACUAGAGAAUUCUGUCAAUCACUAUCUUAUCUGGAAGAUUAACUCCCACUUGAUUCAAGCGAUUGUAGUACCCAGACAAUCUGAGCACAUGCUCACUAGUUGAGCGAUUCUCCUCCAUCUUUUAGCUAUAGAACUUGUUGGAGACUUCAUAUAUCUCAACUCGGGUAUUUGCUUGAAAUAUUAACUUCAACUCUUGGAACAUCUCAUAUGGUCCAUGACGUUCAAAACAUCUUUGAAGUCCCGAUUCUAAGCCAUUUAAGUAUGAUGCACUAAACUAUCAAGUAGUCAUCAUAUUGAGCUAGCCAAACGUUCAUAACAUCUGCAUCUGCUCCUGCAAUAGGUCUGUCACCUAGCGGUGCAUCAAGGACAUAAUUCUUCUAUGCAGCAAUGAGGAUAAACCUCAGAUCACGGAUCCAAUCCGCAUCAUUGCUACUAACAUCUUUCAACACAAUUUUCUCUAGGAACAUAUCAAAAAAAAACACAGGGAAGCAACAACAUGAGCUAUUGAUCUAUAACAUAAUUUGCAAAAUACUACCAGGACUAAGUUCAUGAUAAAUUUAAGUUCAAUUUAAUCAUAUUACUUAAGAACUCCCACUUAGAUAGACAUCCCUCUAAUCCUCUAAGUGAUUACGUGAUCCAAAUCAACUAAACCAUGUCCGAUCAUCACGUGAGAUGGAGUAGUUUCAUUGGUGAACAUCGCUAUGUUGAUCAUAUCUACUAUAUGAUUCACGCUCGACCUUUCGGUCUCCGUGUUUCGAGGCCAUAUCUGUAUAUGCUUGGCUCGUCAAGUAUAACCUGAGUAUUCCGCGUGUGCAACUGUUUUGCACCCGUUGUAUUUGAACGUAGAGCCUAUCACACCCGAUCAUCACGUGGUGUCUCAGCACGAAGAACUUUCGCAACGGUGCAUACUCAGGGAGAACACUUCUUGAUAAUUAGUGAGAGAUCAUCUUAUAAUGCUACCGUCAAUCAAAGCAAGAUAAGAUGCAUAAAAGAUAAACAUCACAUGCAAUCAAUAUAAAUGAUAUGAUAUGGCCAUCAUCAUCUUGUGCUUGUGAUCUCCAUCUCCGAAGCACCGUCGUGAUCACCAUCGUCACCGGCGCGACACCUUGAUCUCCAUCGUAGCAUCGUUGUCGUCUCACCAAUCUUAUGCUUCCACGACUAUCGCUACCGCUUAGUGAUAAAGUAAAGCAUUACAACACGGUUGCAUUGCAUACAAUAAAGCGACAACCAUAUGGCUCCUUCCAGUUGCCGAUAACUCGGUUACAAAACAUGAUCAUCUCAUACAAUAAAAUUUAGCAUCAUGUCUUGACCAUAUCACAUCACAACAUACCCUGCAAAAACAAGUUAGACGUCCUCUACUUUGUUGUUGCAAGUUUUACGUGGCUGCUACGGGCUUAAGCAAGAACCAAUCUUACCUACGCAUCAAAACCACAACGAUAGUUUGUCAAGUUGGUGCUGUUUUAACCUUCGCAAGGACCGGGCGUAGCCACACUCGGUUCAACUAAAGUUGGAGAAACUGUCACCCGCUAGCCACCUUUGUGCAAAGCACGUUGGGAGAACCGGUCUCGCGUAAGCGUACGCGUAAUGUCGGUCCGGGCCGCUUCGUCCAACAAUACCGCCGAACCAAAGUAUGACAUGCUGGUAAGCAGUAUGACUUAUAUCGCCCACAACUCACUUGUAUUCUACUCGUGCAUAUAACAUCAACACAUAAAACCUAGGCGCGGAUGCCACUGUUGGGUUUCGUACUAAUUUCAAAAAAUUUCCUACACGCACGCAAGAUCAUGGUGAUGCAUAGCAACGAGAGGGGAGAGUGUGAUCUACGUACCCUUGUAGAUCGACAACGGAAGCGUUUGGUUGAUGUAGUCGUACGUCUCCACGGCCCGACCGAUCAAGCACCGAAACUACGGCACCUCCGAGUUCUAGCACACGUUCAGCUCGAUGACAAUCCCCGGACUUCGAUCCAGCAAAGUGUCGGGGAAGAGUUCCGUCAGCACGACGGCGUGGUGACGAUCUUGAUGCACUACCGUCGCAGGGCUUCGCCUAAGCACUGCUACAAUAUUAUCGAGGACUAUGGUGGAAGGGGGCACCGCACACGGCUAAGAAUAUGAUCACGUGGAUCAACUUGUGUCUAUGGGGUGCCCCCUGCCCCCGUAUAUAAAGGAGCAAGGGGGAGGCCGGCUGGCCCUUGUGGGCGCGCCAAGGAGGAGUAGGAUUCCUACUCCUAGUUGGAGUAGGUUUCCACCUUUCCUAGUCCAACUAGGAGAAGGGGGGAAAGGGGGGAAGAGGGGAAGGAAGGGAGAGAGGGGCCGCGCCCAAACCCCUUGUCCAAUUCGGACUGGGCUUGGGAGGGGCGCGCGCCACCUCCUGGUCCUUUCCACUAAGGCCCAUUAAGGCCCAUUGCUUCUUCCUCGUAUUCCCGUAAUUCCCCGGUACCUCCGAAAAUACCCGAAUCACUCGGAACCUUUCCGAUGUCCGAAUAUAGUCGUCCAAUAUAUCGAUUUUUACGUCUCGACCAUUUCGAGACUCCUCGUCAUGUCCCCGAUCUCAUCCGGGACUCCGAACUCCUUCGGUACAUCAAAACUCAUAAACUCAUAAUAUAACUGUCAUCGAAACCUUAAGCGUGCGGACCCUACGGGUUCGAGAACAAUGUAGACCUGACCGAGACACGUCUCCGGUCAAUAACCAAUAGCAGAACCUGGAUGCUCAUAUUGGCUCCCACAUAUUCUACGAAGAUCUUUAUCGGUCAGACCGCAUAACAACAUACUUUGUUCCCUUUGUCAUCGGUAUGUUACUUUCCCGAGAUUCGAUCGUCGGUAUCUCAAUACCUAGUUCAAUCUCGUUACCGGCAAGUCUCUUUACUCGUUCCGUAAUACAUCAUCUCGCAACUAACUCAUUAGUUGCAAUGCUUGCAAGGCUUAUGUGAUGUGCAUUACCGAGAGGGCCCAGAGAUACCUCUCCGACAAUCGGAGUGACAAAUCCUAAUCUCGAAAUACGCCAACCCAACAUUUACCUUUGGAGACACCUAUAGAGCUCCUUUAUAAUCACCCAGUUACGUUGUGACAUUUGGUAGCACACAAAGUGUUCCUCCGGCAAACGGGAGUUGCAUAAUCUCAUAGUCAUAGGAACAUGUAUAAGUCAUGAAGAAAGCAAUAGCAACAUACUAAACGAUCGGGUGCUAAGCUAAUGGAAUGGGUCAUGUCAAUCACAUCAUUCUCCUAAUGAUGUAAUCCCGUUAAUCAAAUGACAACUCAUGUCAUGGUUAGGAAACAUAACCAUCUUUGAUCAACGAGCUAGUCAAGUAGAGGCAUACUAGUGACACUCUGUUUGUCUAUGUAUUCACACAUGUAUUAUGUUUCCGGUUAAUACAAUUCUAGCAUGAAUAAUAAACAUUUAUCAUGAUAUAAGGAAAUAAAUAAUAACUUUAUUAUUGCCUCUAGGGCAUAUUUCCUUCAGUGAGGAGUGAGUUGUAACAAAUCUUGUAAACCAUGGUGGAGGCAUUCUAUUGCCUUUCUUCUUUAAUAUAUAAUAUGCACGCUCGUGCAUAUUCGAGAAAAAAAACCCAGGAUCUAUUCGGGGUUUCCGAGUUACGGUUCUUCAUCUUCCAAACAUCUGCCUAGUACCUGAAAACAUGAUUGCUUUCACCAAAUUUGAAUAAACAUUUCAUACAAAAUUAAUUAGCAAAUAUUUAGUGCUAACGGCCCAGCUUUUUCAUCAAAGCAUCAUAGUUCAUACAAAAGUUUGAGCAUGACAGAAAACACAGAUCAGCAGCAGCUGAAGCCAAAUAUCAUAUAUAAAUGGCCUGAACAUAUACACAGCACGCAGGGAAACACAACAGAUUAUUUCAUAAUUGAUACAACUACAAUCAUAAUUUCAUUUCCUCGUGAGCUAAUUGCAUCAUUUCAUCGUACAUUACGUCACACAUCAAUAUUUUCACUCAUAUCCUCCUCGGAGAUUUCAGUCAACUCGGACGACAAAUUGUAAGUAUCCUCCGUAUGGAUGUGCCCUUCGUCGCAGAAGAAUGGCCUGGAAGGCAUCUGCAAGCUGUCGGCGUUUCCUUCUAGCAUCUCUAUAACCUCGCUCAUCAUUGGACGGUCAUGGGAUUUCAUUUGGAUGCACCAUAAUCCGACGAUGCACAACUUCUUCUCCAACUCAUGCAUCUCAGUAUCAACAUGAGUGGAUAUCUCACCUACAUGUUCUUGUUCGAUUAGCCGGUCAUACACCCAUGAAGGGUAGUAUGCUUGGCUCGAGUUCGCUGCGUUCGGAUCGGCGUUCCUUCUUCCUCCAGCCAUCUCCAGCAGCAGCAUCCCAAAGCUGUAAACAUCAGACUUGUUCGAUAUGGCACCGAAGCUCCGAGAUAUCAUCUCAGGAGCUAUGUACCCGAUUGUUCCCCGUAGGGCUCUUGAUGGCACAAAACUGUUGUCCCUUGGGUAUAGUUUGGCCAGACCGAAAUCAGCAACUUUGGGGACAAAAUUGCUAUCAAGAAGGAUGUUGUGGGGCUUGAUGUCAAAGUGGAGAAUCUGCAUCUCACACCCCUGAUGUAGGUAGUUGAUUCCUCGGGCAAUGCCCAAAGCGAUAUCAAUGAGCUUGUCCCAAGAGAAACUCUUCUUGGCGGAGAAGAUGUACUUGUCGAGAGAACCUCGAGGCAUGUACUCAUAGAUGAGAGCCCUCCUCAUUUCUUCCGAGCAGAACCCGACAAGACGCACCACAUUAACAUGGUGGAUCCUACCAAUGGUGGAAACUUCACUGAUGAAAUCUUCUCCAUUGCAGUUAGAGUUACCCGCUAGCAUCUUGACAGCCACAUGGAAGUCAUUAAGUAGCACACCCUUGAACACGGAGCCGUAACCACCUUGGCCCAACUUAUCUCGGAAAUGACCUGUAACUGCAGUGAUGUCUGUGUAGGCAUACCUAGUUGGGGUGAGCAUUUGUUGCAUGCGGAGAAACUUCUCCACUGCAUCAAUUGUUAUCCUUGUUUUCCAAUACUUGUAAGCAAAGAAAGUCCAAACUGCCAAGUACCCCCACAGGAAUCUAUAUGGUCCUGCAUAAUUUUUUUAUUACAAAGUGUAAUUAAGUAUUUAUAACCGUGCACAGCUAGAUAUGACAACACACAUGUGUCAUACAAAUGUAACAACAAUGUAUAUAAAAAAUACAAAGCUAAACAUGGUUCCACGAGCAUCCACGUAAAUAGUAAAUUCAAAAAACUACUAGCAAAAAUUUAAGAAGUCCACAUGAAUUAGGAACAGUUAGCAGCGUAAGAAAUCAAUCCACAUGAAUUAGUUGGUAGCACCGUUCCUACCAUCCAAAGGAUACGAAAGAAAAUAAUUUAAACUGGAGUCCGUUAAUAAUAUAUAUGAAAAUCUAACAGCCCGAAAAGGCCUUCAAAACAGUGGGGACGCAUUUUAACCCAGUAGGAGUUAUAAAAUAAACAGAAGUUUUUGAUGUACCAUUAAUCCACUUGAAAGUCCUCGUGACAAAUAGUAAUAUUAUCAGGCACGCACGGACGUAGGGUGCUGGAGCUGCUUCAAUUCCACAUUCAAUAAUAUAUAGAUCAGGGUUCAAAAUUAUGGAUCCUCUUUGCAUUGGUUCUUCGCGAAAUGUGCUGCAGAAAAAGGGCGAAGAUGUAGGGCAAUCAAGUGGGCAUCCAUGCACGUGCUAAAACAUGUAACAGCUAGAUCUCAGAACUCACCGGAUGAGGCGCAGUAGGCAGUCCUUAAAGCUCGUGAACGGUGUAAACCGAACGGCGAACCCGGUCCUCAUGGACUUCACCACAUCCGUGUAGCUUGCGUUCUCCAGCGCGGUCGCCCCGAUAUCUAGACGAUUCUCCGGACCACCCAGAGGAGUCAUGGCCAGAUACCGGCACCAAGGCUCAAGGUUCUCGACACGAGAGGCACCUGGACCGGUUAACACAUAGACAAAAGAAUCGCUGGUGCUCAUGCAAGCGACGGGCAUGUACAUACCGUAGUUCCUCACUUCCUGGGAACAUUCAACGAAGCUAGCCAGAUUGUACGUCACGAGGGCCAAGUUGGCUCCGAUGUCGUCGUAGUCAAAGAGCCAGAGUAGGUGUUCUUCCGUCCCGUCCAGAUAUUCAUGGGGUCGCCGGUUCCACCGAGGAAGACGGGGGCAAUUGCUGUGGAGAUCCAGGUCGGUGUCGAUGAUCUGGAAGGUGGAAUCGGUGUAGUUGAUGCUGGUCACGUAGUACGUUGCAUCUGCGAUGCGAAGCAUGGCCUUGGCAUCGGCGCAGGCUAGCUCGCCCGAUUUGUCGCCGCAUCCUGCUGGAUCACCUGCCCGGCGGAAUGGGAACGACACGUUCCUGAGAGGGCCGCACGAGAAGCACGGACAGGCAGCAUCUCCUCGGUGAUUUCUUCCCUGCACAAGGACUGCAAGCAUAGUCAGGAAGGUUAAGGCUCGGAGCGCAGUCCACCGGUGGAGUGCACUGGGAGUAGCAAGCUGCCACCAAAGUUAACGUUGCCUCAUCACACCCAGCCACUUGCUCUAGCCACAUGAUUGUCACUGGGAAUAUGCAUGACAACUGGAACGGGGCUGAAUGCCAGAAGUGGUGCACUUGGACGGUUCCUCAUCUGUAUGCCAAGAGUUCAGUCGGCAGAUGAAAUUUCUCCUCGCCGGUCACUCAAAUACAAUGACAGGUCAACAAGACUUGUCAGAAUUCAGAAUUCUGUGUAUGGUGCUUUAACAUGUCAGCUUCAGGAUUUUUAGCAUGUUUCCUGCAGCUGAAUGUGAAUAAGUUUGUCGAGGGCGGCCGCCUGGCAAAAUGACAAGAAAAAGUUAUGAUGUUUUAGUCACAAGAAUAGUCUAGACGGUUUUAUCGAAAAAAAAUAGUCUAGACGGUGAUAGCAUUUGAGUCCAAAAAAAUAGAGCUUUCCAAGCCAUAGAAUACCACACAAGCUUCAGUGGCAGGCACCUACCAUGAGCAUCCAUCUACCACAAAUUAAAAGCCAGUAAAUAACUCCUUAGAGAGAAACGCAAACAGGGGGUCAUUUCUAAUACUGUUGGCCUUCUUUUGUUCACUCCCUUCUCAUCUCCGUCAGGUUUCAUGGACUUGCCUGAAUUUCUUGUCGCACUGCUGCUGCUGCUCUCUCUUCUGGCCUAUGAAUCCUGUGUGGGCAGAGCAUCAGAUGAUGAAGAUUUCUUCAAGAAUUGCUCAUCGCAUCGGUGCAGCAAACAAGCUCCAGAGAUCCGGUUCCCUUUCCGGCUUUCAACCAACCCUCCAUCAUGCGGCGCACCUGGCAUGCAGUUAUCAUGCUCUGGGCAGGACACAAUCCUGGAUCACCAUGUUCUUGGCUCCUGCAGAGUUACUGAGAUCUAUUACAGGCACCGUGUCAUCAACGUCAUCCCGCUUGUGAAACCAUCGACACAAUGCCCUCUUCAGAAGCUCAUCUCAACAAACUUAGCAACUGAUGUGUACAACCAACCUCAAUCAUCACAAGAAGUCAUGACACUGGUACUUUGUUCAAGAGAUUUCAUAUAAAGCCAAGGGGUUUUCUGCAAAAAAUAUGCCACGUCGGCACUUGACAGACGGGCCCCAAUGGUCAGAUACAUUGUCAAUACGUAUAAAUCAGCCUUUUUGACUUUUUUGCAAAAACUUGAGCCAAUGUCGGUACUGACAUGCAAAAUUAGCAAUCAUGAUACCAAUCUGCAUGUGAUGCCCCAAUUGUGGUACUUCUGUGCAAUUAACUCCUUAGGUCCAAUAUACCUGAAGCCAACAGGAGAAGCUACAAUAUAUCCUUAGGUCCUCCCUAUGUCCAUAGAGAACUCGUUUCAGAAUCAGGAAUUAGUUGUUCAAACCAUACAUUGUACAAGCAAUGAAGUAGUUCUUCUGUUUUUGUCUACAUUAAGCCAUGGCAAAACUAAUGAUAUUCUUCCUACAUGCAGGCACGCAUGUCAUCGCAAUUGCAGGUAAUGAUGCAACUCUUAUUUGUUUCCCAUUCUAAAUGAAAUUCUUAUUGUGUUUUCUCAUGGCUAUAAGCGUUAGGAACCCAUGACUUCUUAUCUGAAUGCAGCUCACUAAUUUCAUUUCUUUUUAAUCAGCAGCAUCAUCUGUAGCUGCAUUUAUAGCUCUUUCAUUGGUGGUAGCCGCAACGCUCUACCUCUCCUUAAAGUCAAGGUAUAACGAAGAGAUAAAUAAGAAGGUCGAAAUGUUUCUCAAGGCAUAUGGCACAUCGAAACCCACAAGGUACACUUUCCCCGAAGUUAAGAAGAUAGCAAGACGGUUCAAGGAUAAACUCGGCCAGGGUGGAUUUGGAAGUGUAUACAAAGGCGAGCUACAAAAUGGAGUUCCUGUGGCAGUCAAGAUGCUAGAGAGCUCUACAGGAGAGGGGGAGGAAUUCAUCAAUGAAGUUGCAACCAUUGGACUGAUCCACCAUGCAAAUAUCGUCCAUCUUUUGGGCUUUUGCUCCGAAGGAAUGAGACGGGCUCUUAUUUAUGAAUUCAUGCCUAACGAGUCACUGGAGAAAUACAUAUUCCCACAUGUUUCCAAUAUUUCUCGACAACUCAUAUCACAAAAAAAUGCUAGAUAUUGCUUUAGGAAUUGCCCGAGGGAUGGAAUACCUGCACCAAGGCUGCAACCAGCGCAUCCUCCACUUUGACAUCAAGCCACAUAACAUCCUGCUGGACUACAACUUCAAUCCGAAGAUCUCAGACUUUGGCCUUGCCAAGCUGUGUGCAAGGGACCAGAGCAUCAUUACCUUGACUGCAGCAAGAGGCACUAUGGGAUACAUCGCACCCGAGCUAUACUCUCGGAACUUCGGUGGGGUGUCUUACAAGUCAGAUGUGUACAGUUUUGGCAUGCUGGUGUUGGAGAUGGUGAGCGGACGGAGGAACUCAGAUCCAAGUGUUGAGAACCAGGACGAAGUUUAUCUCCCGGAGUGGAUCUACGAGAAAGUAAUCAAUGGGCAAGAAUGGGAGCUUACUUUGGAAAUGACAGCAGAAGACAAGGAGAAGAUGAGACAUCUGACUAUUGUGGCACUGUGGUGCAUCCAAUGGAACCUGAAGAAUCGGCCAUCAAUGAAAAAUGUGGUAAACAUGUUAACAGGGAGGUUGCAGAACCUGCAGAUUCCCCCCAAGCCCUUUGUGUUGUCUGAAAAUCAUACUGUGCCGCAAAACACGAUGAACACAUGAACACGCAUUGUGUGUUUUGUGUAUCAUUACACGUUUGAGGGAACUUAUUCCACAUCUGUGUUGUAAACUGUAAUGCCUUGCCACUAGCUUGCCCAAUGUUUGAUUACAUACUGAACUGCAUGAGAUUUUGCAGUACUAUGAAUACUGUGUUAUCUGUAUCUUACCAUAUUGUAAUACUAUUAAUUAGAAACAUAUAACACUGGAUUUUGCAGCCAUUUCCUCGCAUUGCUGUGAGUGUUGUGAUAUAAAUCUUACCCAGUUAUUGCUGUAAUUUUAUCCCCUUUCCCCCAACAAUGAUACUACUGUAAAGUCUUUCUAAUACAGAGAUGUCCAGAUCGCCUGCUUAUUCUAGAAAGAAGAGAGGAUCCUGUAACUAAUCAUGCAACUGCCAUGAAUACUAGCUACUAGAAACUCAGAAUUCCUCUUCAGAAAUCAAAUGAGAGCAAAGGGGAUUACCAUGGCAGAUAGCUUCCCUGGUGUAUCCAGUGGAACCCGAAGAAUCGGCCACCAAUGACAAAGGUGGUAAACAUGUUCACAGGGAGGUUGCAGAUUCUACAGAUUUCCCCCAAGCCCUUUGUGUCGUCUGACAAUCGCCCUAUGCCACAAAACACGACAGACACAUGAAUAUGCACUGUGUUUUUGCAUAUUAUUAUUACACGUUUGAGGGAAGUUAAUUCACAUCUUUGUUGCGCAAACUGUAAUGCCUUGCAUUUUUAUGUCGAGUGUUAAUUCGACUACACACUGAACUGAACUACACGGGUCACCUGGUUUGUAUACCUUAUUACUAAAUUGUAAUGCUACAUGGGUCACCUGAUCUGUACCUUAUCAUGUUGUAAUGCUACUAAUUACUGUGAAUAAUGAGAACAUACAGCGCUGGAUUUGUCAACAUUGAAUAAUGAGAACUUGUUAAGUUAGAGAUUUAGAGUACUAGUAUCCUGUCAUUGCUGUGAUUUUAUCCCCUUUCACUCAGAAACUGUAGCCAUUUCCCUGUGAGAAUCACAAGAUGACCCUAUAAGAUCUUUCUAAUACCAUGAUGCGCGGAUGGCCUGAGCUAAUCAUGCCACUGCCCCAGCUACUAGAAAGUAGAAACGCAGCAUUUCUGUUCUGAAAUCAAAAGGAGAGAGCAAAGGGAUUACUCACCAUGGCAGAUAGCUUCCGCGGUAAGAUGCGGCACGCGAGGGAAGCGGGGUACUCGGCAAGACGAGGAGCUCGGACAAUCUGAGCUGCGCGGGCGGAACGGCCUCCGGCGGGCAGCCACGGCUUGACUGCAUUGCCGGAAUAAGCACUCGCCGGCGGCCGGCCGCCGACUAGGGUAGAUACGGGCACCCGGCCGCUGGCCGUUGGGGAUAAGACGCCUGAGUUGGGUCGGCCUCCGCUGUGGAAAUGGGCAAUGAGAAGAGUACGAAUUGAUUGUUGGCCCGGUCCGCGGUCUGGACUAGCCAUCCACUGGUACUCUUUCACAAAAAAACAUAGUGGCUAGCCGGUCUGCGUUCUAAUAACUUGAGCUUUCUAUAUUUGUUUGUCUAAAAAAAUCCUGGUGCUCGCAUUAUUCCUGAAUUUAUUUCAGAAUUUCCGGCGAUGCGCUUUCAGUGGUAGGAGACGUUUCCGUCGACGACGAGGCACCUACGGUGACUUUGUAAAUCUCAAGAUGAUAUGUCGGCUCAGUCUCUCGAAGAUGCUCAUAGGGGUAAGGUGUGCGUGUGUGCGUUUAUAGGGGUGAGUGUAUGCGCGUGUAUAUGAGCGCUUGUGUCUAUACUGGUGCUCAAAAAAAACUCCAGCGUGGGCCCUCUGUCCAUCCUGACAAGACCCUCGUGGUGGAAGCGACCGAGACGUUUUGCGGUAUCCUGUAAACAGAUUUUUGCGGGACAGAUUAUACUGGAUCUGCUAGAGAUGCUCUAAUACUGGCAUCAUUAAUCUAACUGCUAACGUGAGACUGAUAACGAAAGUGUCAAUCAGGAUUUCAUGAACAGUUCAGUGAGGAGGAAAGUGCCGCAGGAAAUACUCAAGCUAGCGGAUGGAUAUAAACCACUGGAACAGCUGAACAAGGUAUCCAACAGAUUACUGUAUUUUUAACUACCAUUCAAACCACAGUUCGGUCAGCUCUAGAGCAAUUUUCAGACAUUCACUUAGUUCAGACCAAAUAGCAUUAUUGCAUCCACUAGCUGUUUCCGAUGGCGCACGGUAAUUUCGUGCUAUUAGUCGCAAACAAACAUAUAACUCUGCAUGAUACUGUAUAUACGUGGGCAUGAAGUAUGUAACUCUACAUGAUACUGAAGCGAACAAGUGUGUGUGUUGAACUAGUGGGGGCUCUGCUGCUUCAACCUGGUGUCCCAGAUUUUUUUCCUUGUUCCACCAUUCUAUCCGGAUGCAUGGUAUACAUUGAGUAAUAUGAAAUCGCACAUGCUAUGAUGGUGCUAGUGCUAGGAUCAUUUUGCUGGAAACAUGCUUUUUCAGCUAUCAAAUUUUGGGAACUCAUUUUGUCCUUCAAAAAUAAAUCUCAUUGGAACAAACUAUAAAUCUGAUUAUAUUUGACUUAUACUACAUCCUAAAAGGCUAUCCAUAAGGUAACUUCCAUGCUUAGAAUUAACUCGGCAUGAAGGACAGUUGCUCAAAUUUCUGGCCAUACAUGCGCUGGUACAGCUAUUUGGCACCUUCGACCCGGUUCGACACCGCGCCACGACGUUCGCAGCGCAGCAUGAUCUGGUUAAUCAUGAUAGGCCAAAUAUGUGAGUGGGCACAUAUAAGUGAUACUCUACUUAGUAUGUAACAUGAGUUUGGCGGCGCCACUGGUUCACAAGAUUACACCUAUCAUGACUAGUCCAAAGAGAAGGAGCAGUGGUAAUUGAGUUCUCGAUCCUUCCCAAACCUAGUGGUAUAUAUGUAUGCCCCCAAUUGGCGGCCAGCUCGCCCCUGCGGCAUAGUGCCAUGCACGGUGUUCUCUCUAUCUAAACUAUAGAGAUGUGUUCUCAUGAGAGCUUAUUUAUAUACCAUGCCAGCUUAGGAUGGGCCACAUUUACAUGCACCUUUACUAUGAAGAUGGACAUUUGUGUCUACCAUCAAAGUUAGUGAGAUGUUGAGUAAAGUGGUUUCGUCCUUCUCAACCGCGCUAUGUAUUAUGCAUUUGUCUCAAGUACAUAAGGGUUUGACAUAAAUUGGAAGUAAUGCAUGAACCUGCGUUAUGGGGGUGAUGCGUCAGAGACUUAAGAAAACAGCAAGUAACAGACAGGUUCGCAUAUCCACAUACACAAUAUGUGAGUUGUUACACGUUCAGGCAUUUUUGCAUAGUGGCCCAAGGAACCAAUUUUGCAGAAACCAGAAUUAUUCGUCCGCUGCAAAGCCCAUGCGCAAAUAAAUAUAACAUCUCUGUGUUUCCCUCUCCACUGGCUAUAACAUGAGGUAGGAGCAACUCUAUUGCUGAGGAGACCACGACGUACUAGUGCAGCCUUUCGCUUCCUAUCUUUCUUGUCACAUAAGUAGCACAUUGGCAAAAUGAUAUUGAACUGAUGGAACAUGGAAUUACGCCAACCGUAGUUCUCCAAAUCCACCAUGGGUCCGUCAAAUUACAUGGGUUAAUAGUCAGAGUUUCUUGAUGGAAGUCAUAUCUAAAUUCGUAAUACUUUCAUGCAAAUACUAAUCAUCUCUAGCUAAAUAAUACACCAAACCUUCUCCAGAAAGCUUAUUUAUGUACCUUCGAAGCUUCAGAUCGGAGCAUUUCAUGUUGAUAGACCUUGCGGAUCGAGUAGGUCAGAUCAUCGGCGGUCCUACCUUCUGUUUGUCCAGACGAACUCGCGCCAGUGGCCAUGGUGGAGGGGCAACGGCGUGAGCGCGAGUGUGCGUGGGUGGCGGUGGUGGUUGAGCUUCCCGUCGUAUCGCGCUAACCUUAGAUCGGUAGGGAUGUAGGUAGGGUUCUGGACGCACGGUGAAUCUCGUGUUGCGUGCGGCCGGCUCCCCCAAUCCCUUUAUAUAGCACGGUGACAAGGGCCCACCAACCAUGGUUUGGUUGGGCGCCCCCGAUCAGGGCGCGGGUCAAGGGCCCGUCGAGCGUUGGUCUCGAUCGGGAAGAGAUCAACCUAACAUUCUCCCCCUUGAUCUCAACUUUACUUUUAACCUUAUAAUUUCUAGUUUAUUUGUUUCAUCACAUAUUGGUACAUAUAACAUGUUUCAUCGUCACAGCUCAAUUGCCUAUAGAAUCAGACAGCCACAACGUACCUUUCUGUUUUGAAAUAAAUUCUUUAACCUUGGGCCCUUUAUUGUCCGGAAAUCUUAGAGUAUACCAUAAAACCCAUGUCGACUGUGUGUUCUUCGAACACACUGGGCGGUAAGCCUUUAAUAAGCAGAUCUACAAACACUUGUCUGUUGCAUUUAUGCUUCAAGCAUUUCUACAUAAUUCCGGACUUUCUCCUUUACAACGCAUAACUCUGUGUCAGUGUGUUUGGCAUCAACACUGCAUUGAGUUCAGUCAUAAACGUGUAAACGAAUCCAAAUUAUCUCAGAUCUUACAAAUAUAAUUCCGUCCACAUUACAUUACAGAAUCAAGACUUGAUCCCAAAUCUUACAAAUAUAAUCAUAUGUCCAUACUACAUGCUUCAUUGUAUGCCCCCCUUCCCCUGAAAUAUUCACUUAGAUAUACAUGCAGCAUCAGCUGCAUUAAGCUCAGCCAUAUACAAACGUGGAAAUGAAAGCAGAAAUCUGAUGGGCAAUACAUUGACCUUACAUCUUACAAAUACACUUUUGUCCUCACAACAGUACAUUCUGUACUUUUUUAUUUAUGUAUAUGCUCACCGUGCACCCCUAUGGCUUUUUCUGGAAAAUGCUGUAUUCCGUGUCUGCGUAUCUGUAUCUUUAUCCUCGUGCCCGCGCCCGUGUUCCUAUAUCGGCUCUUCUUAGAUGGCCAUGUCUAGAGGAAUAACAAGUCAGACAAUUAGCAACAGUUCUGAUGAAGACACAAAUGAAACGGAAAAGGCAACAAUGAGACAGUAAGAAACAUGUGCCAAUAAAUAUAAAUCACUUCUAUAGUUUAUUCUUAUAGAUGUGUCAUAACUAGCACUUGAUACUAGCAAUAGAUUAAAAAAUCCAUACUUGUUGUCAAGUGGAAGGAAUAUUCAGGAUGGAGAAUUUAGCUGGCAAAAAGGCCAAAAACAAUAUGUCCUAUAACUUUUGUCCUCUAAACUCAUCCCUCAUCAUGUCAAGCAAACAAGAUUAUGCCAAAAUAAUACUCUUGGCACGAAAAUUGAUGAUGUGUCUGUUCUAAAUAAAAAGAUCCCGAGAUAAGAAAAUUCAUAUUGUUUCUUUGUGCUACAAAUGUAAUAAAUGAACAAAUGACAAAAACGCAGUUAUUUUAGAAAGUAUGGAUUCAACGAAGUUGUUUUUAUGGAGUUAAGAUUAAUACCAAGAUGAAAACAUAUAAUAAUGGAUAAAGAAUAGAAUUCGCUUUGCGGUUUCAAAGUGCCAUCGAGUUGCUAAUUUGGCAUUUGAUUUUGGUAUUAAGAUAAGUUGCGCUAAAACAAUAUGACUAUAAAUCCAUCCAUCUAACAUAGGGGCACUUACUAAGUUUUAUCACUGGAAAUUGCUUACUAAGCCCAAGUGACAUAGCAAAGGCUACAUCAGCGGAAAAUAACCACUGGAGCGGGGGCUUUGCAAGUGACGACGCAGGGUGCCCUCGAUAAGAGGAUCCUGUGGUCAGUGAAUAUUGAGAAGCCGAUCUUGGCACACAAUUCGAGAAAGGGGUAACACAAACCUCCGGAUGAAUGUGAUCACAAGAUCCUAAUGUUAGAGUUAGCAAAAUCAUUUAACCCGAAUAGAAGAGAGAUUAGAGUCCUAGAGUAUAGACGAGGAGUAAAAGAUCCUAAUACCACCCAAUGGCGACGUGGGCCCGUAAGCCACAUAGCCAUGUUAGUAAAACAAUUUUUCAUUGACUAGACUCAACUUCGGCCAAGGAGUUGGAAAGGGGUUCAUUUAAAUUAUUAAUUGUUAUUACUGUACGCUAAACUAUAUUGAAAUAUAAACUGAAGGAUAUGGGAGAGAAUACCGAGAGAGAUUAUUGGGGAAAUGGGGUAUUGUCAAUGUUGAUGAUUGUUGCAGCUGUGCAAGAUUCCUGGUACGUCCUAUCAUCAACGAUUCUAAUAGUAUAAGCAUUUUUAACAAUGCUCACAGCGCACCUUACUUAAUUAAGGUCGAGAGCAGGAGCGUAGAUGAACAGCGCCUAUGUAUAAUGGGGAGAUCAGCGGGCGGAUACACUACUUUAGCUUCACUCGCAUUCAGAGAUACAUUCAAGGCUGGAGCAUCUUUGUAUGGUGUAAGUGCUAUCUUUUCAGAAUAUAUUAUUUAUAGGCUUGCUAUAAACAAACUUUCACCAGAUAGUCAGUGGUUUCUGCAGUUUAUGUAUUUGUUUUCUUAGAAACAGUGCCUGCAUUCUCAAAAUGGUAGUCAUGGAGGCUACAUUUGUUCAUUCAUCCUCUUUUUCGGAUACGCGAAAAAAUCCCUUCUCCAUUUCAUUAUAAAACGGAAACAGAGUGUUCUACAUAUAGCGGAACAGACCACAGUAGAUGCUAAACCCUACACUGAGAAGAGAAACCUAUUACUGUUCUCAAAGAAAUUUACUCUCCUCGGGUAGGUAAAGAGCAGCAGAAGCUAAAACCGAAGUUUUCCUCUGUUGGCUUCCAUUUCAGUUGCUAUAAUGAGAGUUCCAACUCAAUGGUUUCUUGGGCCAGAAGAGAUUUUGCAAGGCCUUUCCUCAUGGAAGCUUCCAUUAAUGCCGUCUGGUGCAUCUGGAAGCAAAGAAAUUCUAAAAUCUUCCAUAAUACCCGGCCUAGCUUAGGCUCUUGGUCAUAAGCCAAGCCAGGAUUGGAGCGGCGUCGCAAGCACCUUGCUCAUUUGGAGGGAGAGCGCAAACAAAUCUCUCUUAGACCUUAGUCCUUCUCCAACUGUAGGUUUCCUUAGUGGCUGCAUCUCUUUGCCUGGCUCAAGGCAAGAAUAUUCAAGAACAUCAUGUGUCCCUGCGCGCACCCUUAUAGCCCCUAUUUGGAACUCAAGAAAAUUUCCUGAUUCUUGUCGGAGUUGAACUCUUUCUUGUGAAAUUUCUGAGUUCCGAACAGGGCCAAGUGUGAUAUGCCUUUUUAGUUGACAUAUACAGCUAAUAAUAUACCCUCACAACGUAUUUCCUGGCUCUGGGAACAAGCUCAAGGAGUGCUCUAGGGACUAGGGCUUAUGGACAAAUCUUAGUCAUCAUGCCAUCCAUAAUGACCCUGGGUGCGUUUGGUUAAUAUGAUUUAAUAGUUUGUUAAAUAUGUUAUGAAUUCCUUAUGUGUUUUGAUUGCAGUUAAUACCAAACAACUCCGGUAUGGUUUCGGUAAAUACCAUAUUAACCAAAGUUGACAAGAACUUAAAGUAUCUCGGUGACUUUACAGGUUCACAUCACAAAGUACAAAUUAACACAUGAAAAAUUGAGUAAUUAACAUCAGAAGCUUGCCAGUAUCAACACCAACAGCAAGAAGGCAGCUAACACCUAAGCAAGGAGCAAGCACCAAGCAGCCAAUCACAACCAGGCGGAUCCAUUCUGCAUUAGUCAUAUAGCAUUUUCUUAUAGCAGGAAGCACUUUAGUAUUAGCAAGCACCAAGUAGAUAGUGUACACAUGCCAGUUUAAUGUCAUAACGAACUAAUGCAGUGCGGCCGGCCAUUGUUUCAUGCUUAAUUGUGAGUCUGACCAAAGGAGAAGAGCCGCAUUGUCCAGGAUGAGCGCUGAGAUGGGCUGGGCCUUGCAAGUUUUUGCUGUUUGGUAAUAAAAAAUUUAGUUCGGUUUUGUACCAAAUAAACCAAACUUUAGCGGUUAGUAAUUUGCUAACAAUACUGAUAACCAAUCACCACAUCAGCCGACUGGUAACCGUACGUCCAGCUUUGCAUAACGGGCCUGGUCUUUGUUCGAUACCAUAUUAACCAAUGACCGUAUGCAUACAGUCAUUUUCAUUAGUAGACUCUGGUUGAAACUUGAAAAUGCAGUUUAGUGCCAUUUUGGUUGCUAUAAUUUAGUCAUUCUAUUUUUUUACUGUUUGUUUGUAUAAACAUAAAAACUAACUUUUUUUCUGAAUUGAUGAUCAGAUUGGUGAUUUGUCUUUGAUGAGAGCAGACUCACAGAAAUAUGACUCCCAUUAUAUCGACAAUCUUGUCGGUAAGAAAGUAUCUCAUCAUUUUUGUUUCGGAAAGGGGUGUUCAACGCAUCAGUUGGUAUGAUUUAAUAGUUACUUCUUCCACUACAUCUUUUCAGGAGAUAAAAGAGCUUACUAUGAGAGAUCACCAAUCAACUUUGUCAAUAAAUUUACAUGCCCAGUAAUUCUGUUUCAAGGGUUGGAUGAUAAGGUAGGUGUUGAUCAUCAACCACAUUGGUUAUCAUGAAUUCAUGAGUACACAAGUCGGUAGAACCAUACACAUGUGUGUUUCUUUAACAUUUCAAGUUAUCUUUGGACUCUUGAGAUUAUGUUUCUUCUGUAGUGGAUUAACCACUCUGUUCUUCAGAUUGUCAUAUUAUAGUUCCUCCUGUAAAAGUAAUGGCCAGGCUUCCAUAUUUUCAUAGGGUUUGUAUGUACUUUGUUGAACAUACUUAAGCUUGAUGAAUCAUUGCUGCAACAUUUCUUUGUGCAAAAUGUCAGGUGCAAUCUCACAAGCAAAAGUUUGCACUGGUUUUGUGCAAAAUUACAAUCUGCAUUUAGCUGGUGGAAGUGUGAGGCUGAAAUAGACCGUAGCAAAAUAUUUCACUUGCCUUAAUGUUUCGCAGGUAGUACCACCAAAUCAGGCACGCAAAAUAUACCAGGCUUUGAAAGAAAGAGAUCUGCCUGUUGCUUUGGUUGAGUAUGAAGGGGAGCAGCACGGGUUCCGCAAGGUUGAAUACUGUACUAAUAGUUGCCUUUCUACAUCUUCUACCCUGUUAACUUUCAAGGUUGUCAUGGAUUUCAUCUUCACAUUUUUCACUCUGAACAGGCCGAAAACAUCAAGUUUACCUUGGAGCAGCAGAUGGUGUUUUUCGCUCGAUUAGUCGGCAAAUUUGAGGUGGCGGAUGGUAUAACUCCAACCAAGAUCGAAAACUUCGAUUGAAGUGCAGAAGAAACAAUCGUAGCAUCAGCUUACAUUUUCUUUUAGAACUUGACUUUUUAGUGUAAUGGUGUCUUGUCGCUAUGUAACUGUUUACGUGUUUUACAAUACUGUUUACGUGUUUUACAGUGCGUCUCUUCACAUUUGUUUUGGAUUAUGUGAAAUAGAACGAGAUGGCCACCAUGAUGUUUUCUACUUUCCCAGCAACAAGAAAGAGCGUUCUCUAGUCAUGUCAUGUUUUCAAGUGGAGCAUGCAAAAAGUUGUGGACCCUAAUAGAGAGCUGACGUUCCCUACAGGAGGACGUUGCACUAAUGAACGUUCCCUCAUGGAGGCUCACGUGAGUGAACGGCGUUCGCUCAAAAAACCUCUCCAGGAAACGUUUCAGGAAUUGCCAUCCUAUAAUAGAGAGAUUUGUUAUCCUAUAACACAUAGAUUUGCCAGGACGCGGAUUUGGUGAACAUGGGUGCGCGUGCACCCUUUAUGAAUAGUAAAUUUUAAAAAAUACUAGAAAAAUUCAAAAAAAAUCUGAAUUUAUUUUUGUAAUAUACAUAGUCAGCCAGUAUACUCGCAUAUGAAGUUUCAUGAAGACAUCACGUCCGUGAUAAUCUGGGCAAAAAUGGCAAAAUCGAAGCUAAUCAAAACUAUAUUAAAAACAUUGUUUAAUGAAUAGUAUGGUUGUAUUUGUAUUUUUUUCACUAAGAAUACCAUGGGUGUCAAUACAUCAUGAAACUUCACACGUGAGUAGAAUGAUCGACCAAGUUUCAUGCCGCAAAAAUUCAGAUUUUUUUAAAAAAAUUCUUGUAUUUUUUUAUGAAUUUAUUGUUCACAUGGGUGCGCGUGCACCCAUGUUCACCUUUGUAUUUUUGUGCUAAAGAAGAAAUAAUUGUUAUGCUAUAGAAGAAAAUUUGUCAUACUAUAGCAGAGAAAAUUGCCUGGCAUUUCAGAGAUUUAACAUACUGUAGUCAGCAGAGAGAAUAGGCAGGCUAAAAGAGAAGAGGAAAGUCAUGCUUACAUGUUUACAAAUUACCAUCUUGCGGCUAUACCUGGCCAAAACUCAGGCCGGGCCAAGCUUUGUGUCGGGCCUAAAAAGGCCUGCAGUAGAAAACCUAGGUCCGCGCCCAGCCCGGCCUUCGGGCCUUGAUUUCAGGCCCAAGCCUAGCCCAACAAUGAAAAAGCCCGUCGGGCCUCAGGUCGGACCACUUUGUUAAAAGACACAUGUGUCAAGCUCAAGCCCAGCCCGCCCUGGCAUUUGGGCUCAAAUUAGGCCAAGGCCAGGCCAGACCGGGUUUCCCAUGGCCAAGUAUAGUUGCAGCAGAGGAGAAUUACCACGUUAGCGUUGAUUGCCAUGUAUUGCUAUGGUACACAUAGAGAGAGUGCCAUGCAUGUCCAAGAAGUUGCCAUGCUACAGUAGGAGGAAUUGCCGUGCUAUGCAGAAUGGCAUACAUGCUUUUAGUAAUUGUCAUGCCACAUCACAGGUGCACUACCGGGAAAAGGCUUAUAAGUGGCCUCAUAUUAGUGGCCGGCGUGGACAAGUACUCAUCACUUCUAUUUUUGGAGAAGUAGCAGUAACGGCUGACACCUCUUGCCUGUCACUUGUAUUUAUCGAGCAGUGGCGGGCGGAAAUGAUCACCCGCCACCGGUAAACUCUUCCAAGAUUGCUCGCGUGAUGAAAACUAUGAGUAGUGGGAAGCGCACGCCAUGCCCGUUACUGGUGUAUCAGUCAACAGUGGCAGGCAUGUAUUGUGCCCGCCUCGGAUACAUUUUUAAUCUGGAGGCAAAUUAAUGUAAAUAGCCAUAAGCUAGAUGUGGCGGGUGUCCAAAGUCAUCUGCCACACCUAAGUUAUGUCCAAAAACUAUCCACUAUAUACAUUAGGUGCAUCAAGUUUUUGCCUUAACGGUGUCAAAAUUUUACCACAUACUACAGGUGUCCAAUGAGUACACCAUGGCAAGUCUCAUCACAUUCAAAGCUCGUCUGCACAGCCAAAUAUUGUUUUCCAUUAUAAUUGUCGGAAUGUCAACUAAUGCCGGAAAAAUAGCAAACCAAUUAAAAAACGAAGACAUUUGAGCAUGGGGCUUUCAAUGGUGUCUAUUACCCGUGGAAAUUUGAACUUGAAAUGAUUUAAACCAAAUCUAGUACAAUAACAUAGUAGUGGCGAGCUCUUGCUUGCGCCGGCCACUAGUAGUGAUGUGGCAGGCGUUUUCUCUGGCACGACAUGGGUCAACCCAUCCACGACAGUUUCACCCCUCCUCCAAACCACCUCCCUCGCAAAAAGACAAUUUCAAAACUUCCCUCGGUACACUUUCUCAAUUCUCCGCCGCGCGCGUCCCGCCCCAACCCCCAACCCUCGUUCCUCGCUGCCGCCACCUCUUCCUUAGGAGCAGAUGGCUGGAAUUGCCAGUCCGACAGGGCAGAAAAUAUCACAGACUACCCGACUGAUGUUCUUUUGGAUUCGGGCAUGUGAAAACUAAGCAUACUUGCUUCUUUUUCGUUGUCACUGGGCAUGCGAUCUGGCGCAGGUGUGAUCCGGCAUGCUGUGUGGAUCAAAGCAAUUCUGAAUUGGAAUUUACUGGCGGACAUAUACAUGAUAGCAUUGGAUGAUGGCCUCCCGCAUUCGUAUCCGCGGACUAAUCUCCCUGUCCGCGGACAAAUGCGGAAGAGAAUUUACAGGCCGCGGUUGGAGAUGCCCUUAAACAAUGAAGGCUACACUAGCCAUGCUAGGACGAUAGCUGGUGUGGAGGAGAAGCAUGCAGCUGGCAGGGACGAUGAGAAAAAUCCAACUCCCUCCCACGAAAGGAACACAUUAAGAUUGGUUGACACGAUAACAUUCAAUCAACACCUAUGUGCUUGAAUAAAACACUGGUGCCCAGUCAAUGCAGGUUUAUUGGUCGAAGGCCUUAAUUACAUGUACCAUGACCGACUAGCUUAAUAGUCUCGGCCGGUGAUGAUUAAGUCCCUAAUGUCCCUAAUGUCAGAGACUGUGGUUGUGUUCAUCUAAUAACUUUCUUUUGUUUCAUCAAACCGAAGACGUUUCACAUGAUUUGUCUAAAGAAUCCAUCUUUCGUGUCAAUCAGAUUUAUCCGUCCUACUCCUGGUCCUGGUUUUGUUACGCAAAAUGCACCGCUUUGUAUACUUAACAGGAUGAACUACAUCAAAGGCAACAUAGACAUAUUGGUUCUGAAUCUACCCUAAACACAAGGCUUGUACAUGACUGUUCUGACAUGAUAGUUUUGUAUCUACAAGUGUACAUGAUUAAUUGAGAGGCUAGAAAAUAAUACACACACGCGCACAUGCGCGUGCGCGCACACACACACACACACAUCACCCUAUAACUCGGGUUUAUGAAUUAUUUCAAUUUAAUUCAAACCCUUAUGACUAUGAGCCAACAAUACUAGGAAAACCCCUAUAGGCAACCACAUAAUAGUGGCGCGGGUUACUAGGGCCGUGCUACUGCUACCUAAUAGUAGCGCAAGCAAACAAAAUGGGCUACCGAUAUGCUUUAGUAGCACGGGCACAGAAAGCCCGCGCUACUACUAAGUGGUCCCCAUCAUGUCCCAACGAAUGGGCACUAGAUUGAGAGUGCAUACUACCCGAAUUCAAAAAAAAAAAUGGGAGUAUUUGGCCUGAACUCACUGUAUUACAGCAAGUUGCUCGAGAAUUUAUUUUUCAAUAAAAGCAAAGGACGAUGGUAUACUAGUCCGGGUAGAAUAUAUUUACAGCGUUAAUGUUUGAAGUCCGGCUUGGCGUAAAAAAAAAGUUGAGUCCGGCUAGGAGUUUGCUUGCCUGUGUCCGCGUGUUGUGUCCGUGUAGGUUUAGGUUUUGUGUUUUGUUCGGUCAGGUCGGCCGUUAUAUAUACACCACAGUUUGUGUCAAGUUUGUAUCCUGAGAAAAAGGAGAAACAUAUGCACGCUGACAACAGCUUGCAUGGAAACGUCUCUUUUAAUGCCUGGCCGCGGCCGCAGCGCCAGCGACGAGGGAUCCGGACCGGCCCGCUCACGCACCACGUGCCUCGGUCCCCAAAUCAACAUUGACGAGGAUGGCGCCGGAGUAGCCUCCAACCGCCGCAGCCGUAAGCGCCACCAUCGGCGCGGUAAGCGCCUCCGCGCACGGACCCAUGCCAGUGAGGAGGGCAACGGCCGCUCACCGGAGCCGCCUGCCUCCCUGCCGGACAGCGAAGAUAUGGUCCGGGAGAUCCUCCUCCGCCUCCCCCUGGACCUAUACUCUCUUCCCCGCGCCUCCGCCGUGUGCAAGCAGUGGCGAAGCAUCCUCGCCGACCCCAAGUUCCUCCGCCGGUUCUACGCGCACCACCGCAAGCCACCCCUCCUUGGCUUCUUCCAUUACGGCAGCACACCGAUCACGUUCACGCCCGUCCUGGCCCCUGCUCCCGACCACAUCACCCCUGGGCGCUUCUCCCUUGGACACUACAGCGACCGCAUCCUGAUUGAUUCCCGCCAUGGCCGCGUCCUGGUCUUAAACUUGCAGCAUGAAGAGGUCGUCGUUUGUGAUCCUAUCACAAACAAACAUCACCGCGUGCCCAUUCCGCCCCAGUACAACGGACGCUUCUUUAACGCGACAGUGCUUUGUGCUGCUAGCGACCAGGGCCAUGUGCACGGCAGCUGCCACUUAUGCCCCUUCAAGGUGGUCUUGGUGUCCUACAGAGAGAAUAAGCACCCCUAUGCAUGCGUUUACUCCUCGGAGACUGCCACAUGGGGCAAUGUCAUCUCAACAGUAGCUUCAGAUGAUACAACAUUUGGUCCUUGUUGUAGCACCCUUGUAGAUAAUGUCCUUUACUGGCCAGCUAAGAAAAAAGGAGAUGACAUAGUUGAGUUUGAUUUGGGCACGCAGAACCUUAAUGUUAUCAAGGGGCCUCCAGGUAUGAAUAUGCAUGAUUUCGACAACUUUCAUAUCAUUGACGCAGAGGAUGGCGCCGUUGGUCUUGUCGCUUUGUCUCGCCAGCUUAACCUUCAAAUGUGGCGGAGGAAGGUCGAUUGUCGGGGUGUUACCACAUGGUUGUUGCAGAAGACUGUUUCAUUGGGUGAACUUCUUAAGAUCCCUUCUUGGACUAUGAGAAGGAUUGAACCGCUCAAAGUGGUGGGUUAUGAUGAGGAUACUGAUGUAAUCUUUUUAGAGAGUCACGAUGGUGUGUAUAUGGUUCAGCCAAAGUCAAUGCAAGCCAGGAAACUUAAUGGAAUCAGCUCUACAUAUUACUGCUAUACUUUAGCGAGUCUCUGUGUACUAGGUGAUUGAUCAUCCUUGGUCUUUAUAUAUAUCUUAGAAUGAACACAGCCUAUUUUAUGUUCUGUACAUGAUUUCUCGCGUACAGUUCUUGUAAUUAUUAAAUGUUCGCUUAUAGCUUGAACUUACCAAGCAAUUUCCUUGUAAACAUGUUUUUUCUCAAUUUUUAUACGCAAAAAUAAAUUCCCUUUCUUGCCUUGAAAUCUAUUUAUUUAAAAAAGAAUACCCAAUAUCAUAUUUGUUUCUCGUGUUUGUUGUUUUGGCAUAGUAUUGGCUGGUUGACAUGAUGAGGAUUGAAUUCGCAUGAGGAAAUGUAUAGGUUCAUUUGUCUUUCAAACUAAAUUCUCCAUUAUGAGUUAGCUAAGUAUAUUCCUUCUAUGAAUAUGCCUGGCAUGCUACAACAAACGUGGUUUUGUUUUACCUAUUGCUAGUAUGGAGACUAACUUAUCCAUUCGUCUUCUCUUAUCUAUAGAAAUAAGUCAUAUAAGUGAAUUAUCUUGCUCAACAUGUAUUUGUCAGCUCAUUUUUUGAACUGUUUCAUGUUGCCUUCUCAUAUCCAUUUGUCUUUAUUGUGGGAUUGUUGUUAAUUGUUGGAGUUCUUAUGCUUCUAGACACAACCAUUGCCAGUGGAACCAAUGGAGUUGAAAUAUUAGGAUGACUGUGUGGUUUGAUGCUAAUGUGCGGAAAUAGUUCAAGUGGUAAGAUCUUGUAAAGAUAGUAUGUGAGAUUGAUACUGUUUGAUCUUGACUUUGGAUAAUAUUCAUGGCUGCCAGUAUAUAUGGGUAGUAUGCACUCUCAAUCUAGUGCCCAUUCGGCUAUGGGGAUUGCACUGCACAUGCUAAUAACAUGGACAAACAGUUAAAAUGAAUGUGAUGCCAAGUAAAAAAUGACUUUAUGUUGUAUCAUAAGUGAAUUCUGCAGACCUUCGACAUGUUGUAUGUCCAUAGUUCUCCAUUGUUUUGGACGUUUCACAUUCUACAAGUUCAAAGAAAUGUAAAAGGUUGAAGGGUUUAUUUUGUUGUCAUUGUAUAUAGCAAGAAAUAUGAUAUAGCUCUUGGUUUUUUGAGGGUGUAUGAUAUAACUCUUCUUUAUGCAUAUGCUAUGUUAUUGAGCUGACCAUGGGUUUGUACACGUCUUGUUCAUACAUAGGUGUAUCUUUAUCAUACACCCUUAAAAAACAUUUGUACAUUUUGGUUCAAGGCAUUAAUUAGUUGUAUCGUGACCGGUUAUAUAGCUUAACGGUCUUCCGAUGAUGAUUAAGUCCCCAACAUCAGAAUUUGUGCUCGGCUAUGCUCAUCUAAUAACUUUGUUUUGUUUCAUCAACCCGAGAUGCUUCACAUGAUUUGUCUGAAGAAUCCGUCCCUCGUGUCAACCAGAUUUAUCCAUCCUGGUCCUGGUCCUGGUUUUGUUACCCAAAAUUCACCGCUUGUAUGCUUAAUAGGAUGAACUACAUCAGAGACACACAUAGACAUAUUGGUUCUGAAUCUUCCUGAAAGACAAUGCUUGUACCAAAUCUAAAUAAACAGUCGGAUGAUAUUACUUUCAGACAUAUUUCUAGGCCAGAUAAUGGCACAUCCCUUAUUCAUUUAUUCAUUUAUUAAGUCGCAACAAGAGGAAUUUAAUUACAAGGGAAAUUGGAGUUGCCAACACAAAAGUCUGAGCAAUAACAAUAGACACAGAGCAGCACGAGCCGAAGCAAAAUAUCACAUACCAGAUGAAGUACCAACAGAAUGUAGCCCGAAAUUGAUUGAAAAAAUAGCAAUUUAAGUUAUCAAUUACAGUAGCAAGAACAAAAGAGCCAGAAGCAGUUCAGAUUGAUGUGGUCGGUCUUUGCAGAUUGACGACUGCAAAUAAAUUAGACUGAGAUGUAUGAUGAGGUCAUCAAAGUCUUGUUGUAAGGAUGUUGGAUGUAAAUUCGUAUGUUUUUUUUUUGAGAAUAUAAUCCAAUCCUAUGUUGGAUCCUGAGUUCUUUUUUUUUUGUCAGAUAAGGAUCAUGGGUUCAUGAGAACGAGCAAACGAACGGGGGCCCAACACUUGUUUACUUUGUGCAAUCAGGACCCAAGCCCAACAAAUGCUUUCUACGAACAAUUAAUUAGGAGCGAACUCAACCCGCUGCUAACCUGCUACCAUUACGUCCAUCCUGGCUAGGUCUUCUUGGCGGCCGCGGAUGAACCCUGCCCUGGAUGCCGCCGGAGCGGCCCGCCGGCGCAGCCCACGCCUCCAUCCCCAGGUUCAGGCGAAUGAGGAGGGAGCCGGAGUGAAUCUCCGGCGCAGCGCGCGCCUCCAUCCCACAAUCCACGCGAGUGUUGAGGGCAACGGAGUCACCCGCCGCCGCAGCCCUCGCCUCCAUCCCCAGGUUCACAGAGUGGCUCACCGGCACAGCACGCGCCUCCGUCCCAAGGUCCACGCGAGUGAGGAGGCAUCUGGAGUGAUCCGCAGCAGUCAUCGCCGCCGCUACAGCUCACCAGCGGCGCUGGGCUCGCCGCUUGAAGACGAUGAUCUCCUGAGAGAGAUCCUGCUCCGUCUCCCGCCACAGCCCUCCUCCCUGCCCCGCGCCUCCGCCGUAUGCAAGCGGUGGCGACGCACCACAACGGACCCAAGGUUCCACCACCAGUUCCGUGCAUACCACCAAAAGCCACCCCUGCUCGGUUUCUUCGAGGAUAGCGUGGAUGGUAUCGUGUUCAGACCAAUCCUGGACCAUCCCGAUCAUAUCCCUCCACAGCGCUUCGACCUGCGACUCCAUGGCAUUGACAGCAGCAACCUCUCGAGGUUCCGACUGCUUGGGUGCCGCCACGGUCGCCUUCUCAUCAUGCGCCCGCCGCAGCAGGAUCUUAUUGUCAUUGCCCCCAUGACCGGCGAGGAGUGCCGUGUGUUCAUUCCGCCGGAGUUCAAUAAACGCUAUGUCAAUGGGGUGGUGCUUUGUGCUGCUACUGAUCACGACCAUGUGCACGGAAACUGCCACUUGAGCCCAUUCAAGGUGAUCUUGCUAUCCACGAGCACCUACUAUAGUGGUCCACAGCUCAUCUUAGCAUCUGUUUACUCUUCGAAGGCUGGCAUAUGGGGCGACGUCAUCUCAACUCCGACUCCAUGUGAGCUUCCUGGUGGCGGUACUCAUGGGUCACUAGUUGGUAAUGCACUUUACUGGUUGUGUAGAGAUUACAUGAUUGAAUUGGAUUUGGAUGGGCACAUCCUAGCUUUGAUCAGUGCCCCUCCCACUAUAAAUGAGUCACGUCACUUUUUUGACAUGCGUGAGGUCAUCCAGAUCAUGGAUGGCGCUGUUGGUAUCGCCAUAUUGUCUCACUAUUACCAUAACAUUCAAAUGUGGCAAAGGAAGGUUAAUUGUCAGGGUGUUACCAAAUGGGAGUUGUGGAAGACCAUUGACAUGCAUAACAUUGAUGGGAUCCCCCCCGGGGUUGAAGGAGAGAGGCCAGGGUUGUUAUUUAGACUGAGAUAUGCUGAGGAUACUGAUGAAAUAUUUCUAUAUGUGGGCCAUAAUGUCUAUAUGGUUCAACUUAAGUCGAUGCAAUCGAAGAGACUUUGUGAAACCCGUCGUGUUAGUGCUCAUCAUUCUUUCAAGAGUUUCUGUAUGCCAGGUGACUGUUCUUCAUUAGUCCUCACAUCGUAGUAGUAACCUAGUCUUGUUAUGUUCUUAAAGGGAUGAUCGAAUACCUUUGCUAUGUAGACGAACUUAUAACAAUACUCUUUCAUUUCAUAUAGCUGCACAUUGUGUUGUCAUUCAAUAUAUUUGUCUUCGCCCUUGGGAGAUAACAAAUCAAAUAUCAAAUGAAAUGAGCAACAAUGUGACUUCAAAUGUCAAAUGGUUAACUCAUUCGGCAUGUUUGGAACCUUAGCUAGCUAUAUUCUUUUAUCUAGUACUUUCGAUCUUUCUAUUUUUCUUAACUCCAUAAAACAACUUUCAUUGAAAGCGUCCCUUCCGGAAUAGUAGUUUUCCGCUUGUCACUUGCUCAAUACUGUCAUGCAAGUGAAUAAUACAUUUGUACCACCUGCGUUUAUAUCACUUUUGUUGAUAAUGUUUAUGAGUUUUGGCGUGUUUUCAUUUUGUAUUCUUGACAUGAGGGGGAUGAGUAUACAUGAGAUAAAUUAUAGACCAUGUAUUGCUUUCUUAUUAGCUAAAUUUCUCAUGAUGAGGUAGCUAUGUAUACUGAUUUUUAUCUGUUGCCAGUAUGAGUAGCAGCUAUAUAACGUAAAUAUAAAAGUGAGUUGUUUUUCUUAUAUUUAUCAAUUCAUCUAUGUAACAUACUCACUGUUGCCUUCUCUCAUCCAUCUGUCUUAUGUUUGUAGGCACAAGUAUUGUUGGUGGAUGCGAUGGAGCUGAAAUGUUGCACCAUACAUAGGAUAACUUUCUGGUUCGAUAUGCUGAAAUGGUUUACCAGGUAAAAAGAUCCUUUGAAUAUACUUUUGAACAUUAUCAUGCUCCAGCCAUUUUUUAGCAGAUAUGAAAUAGGUCUUCUUUUAUGUUGCUGAGUUGACCACGACUUCGUUCACACGUUUUUUCCAUAGAUCAAAAGAAUCACGCGCCAUUCCAUUUAUUAAAAUGAAACGCCAAUAACAUCAUUCUUUUAAGCACCCGCAACUGCCUUAGUAGGCAGAACAACUCAGCAGACCAAAUUCAGUUUAGCACAACACAAAAAGGCUCAGCAAAACUGAACGGAUAUUACACUCCUGAGAUGACAGCUGCACUUCUUAAAUAGAAGCUGCCAAGCUUUUCUUCGGAACAACAGCUUGAGCAUGGUCCUGGACCCCAUUGCCUCCAGCGCCCAGGUCCUAGCAGACCGACAGUCCAUUGCUUCUUCACUCUGCACAUAGCCAGCCACGGAGUUUCCAUUGCCUUGUCUUCCAUGAGUAGGAGACACUACACCAGUGUUGUGAGCAUAGUUUGUGAAAUUUGAACUGUUUGAUUCUCUCUACGAAAAAUUGUUAUGAUGCUGCUAGAAGGAGGACGCGAGAGGGCCGGCCGGGGGGCCUUUUUGCCCACGGCCGGGCAAGAGGGAAGUGAUUUCCUUGUUAAUUCUUGCUUGAUUAGAUUGAAACCAUGGUUUUAAAAUUCAGUGAAAUUUCAGUGAAAUUUCCGAAAUUUCACUAAUUUCAGCAAGUACUGAAAUAUAGCGUUUCGGUCAAAAAAAUUCAACACUUUCGGCCCCCAAAAUCAAUUCCCGCCAGUGCCUCCUUGCGCGGGAAAAAACCGCGCCAAAGGCCCAAACAUGCCCCCGAGAGGCCCGCGAAUGGGUAUAUUCCUCUCCCGUGCCCUCACUUCCAACCCUAAAUCGCCAGAUCCAGGAAAAAAUCCCCUUUUCCGCCGGCGGCGCCGUCGCCGGAGGCUCGAGCUCCUCCUCCGUCAAAGCCAAGCAAGCUCCGCUCUCGCGCGUCCCCUCCCCCUUGCGCCUUCCUCCCUGCGUCUCCGCGUCGCUCACCCACCCAGCCCGCCACCCACUCUUCCCCGUCGUACGCGUCGAAUCUGUGUCGCCGCGAGGACGCCACAUCACGAAGCGCACCGGCCACCGCCACGGCGCUGCUCAUCUGCUCGUCGUUGUAGGCCUAGCUGAACCCGCAGCUGCACACGAAGCAUGGAAGCGCACCGUGAGGUUGGGGGCAGCAGCAAUGGCAAUGGCAGGGACGUCGCCGGUGGCUCUGGCAUGACCGCCGGGCAUGAAGCGUCACAGUCCGCACCUACACCUGGACCAGGUAAUUAACAUUCGUUGUGAUUCUUUGGCACUUUUGUGUAUUUAUGUUACCUGUCCCACUGAUCUGGCUAGUGUUUUUUGUUGUUUUUCUAUGGUCGAUUGUUAAUCUGACCACAUUCCAAGCCUUUGCGGUGUUGUAUGCAUGGCAUGGUUGUAUGCUAGUACGUGCUCUAUGUCGGUGAUGCAUAUUCUUUGUGAUAACUGAACUUGCUGUCCUUUGUACAAUGUGAAAUUCGUGCAAUGGCUCAGUUGACUGAUGUGAUGAAAUGCAGGGUAUAUUUUCACUGGAAAUAUUACUAAUCCCUGGAGUCAUGCUGCACAUUAUGGAAGGCAAGGAUUUUCAUGCCACUAUUGUGGUCUGAAGAGGCAGGGUGGAGGCUCAACCCGCCUAAAGGAACAUCUUGGUGGGCUGGGAGGAUCAUGGUUGAAUGCUAUAAUGUGCCCUCCGAGGUACAAGCUGCAAUGAGGAAGAAUCGGCUGGUUUACAAACAGAAAAAGUCAAAGGUACAAGCCCGCAAACUCAGAUUGGAACUUGAGCUUCUAGAGGAAAUGGGUGGAAGUCCAGUAAUUGAUCUUGAUCCUGCUAGUGAUGAAGAGGACCGUGUAAGGUUGGAAAGGGAGAAAGCACUAAGGGGUAUUAAGCUUCGAAAUGCAGUUGAUAGUAUGGGUAGCAUGGGUAGUAGAUUUGAGGUCGGGUCUGGGAGUGGCAGCGCCAAUGUCGAGUCUAGUCCUACGACUCCUGCCAAUGGAAAGAUAACCCAAUAUCUUCAGCGUAAGAGCUCUCUUAGUCCUGCAGAUGGUGGUAACAGGACUCCUGCUAGUGGACGCCAGCCAAGGAUUGACUUCUCAAAUCAAAAGCUAAAUGCAGCAAAACUUGGUCAAGCUUGGGCCAAAUGGUUCCAUGCUAAUGAUAUUCCUGGACGGAAAAUCAAUUGUCCUCUAUUUCGAGCAGCGUUGAAGUUUCAAGUCUUGUGAGGAGGAAUAGGGUGAAGAAAGGUAAGUUGGUUGUUCUAGAUGAAGAGGGGGAAGCUUCGGAAAGUGAAGAUGAUCAGGAAGAAGACAAAGAAAGUGGUGAUGAAGAAGAUUUUGAUGAUGAAGAGGAGGAGGAAAUAGGUGGGGUGCCUUCACAUGAAAGAAGCACUCAAGCGGUUGAACCAGGACAAGAGGCUGAGCUGGUAAGGGUGGCCGAAGAAGCGAGUGAGACUCGGAAGUCAAAACGACCAUCUGGGAAGAAGAAGGACAAAGAUAGUAUCUACUAUUAGCAAUGGUCAGUUCUUCUUCUUAACUUAUUUGCUAAAUUACAAUGCUUCAUAUUGCAAUUUGAUUGAUUUAAACCUGAUUCUAGCUUUACUUCUAUUUUAGUAAUGGCAUAUGGUAGUGUAGAACUGUAGAUGAUUUGUUGAACAUGCCAAAUAUGUGGAUAUGUGCCUCUGCCACUGUUCUAUAUUACUAAUUUCACAUGUACAUAAUUAUUUAAAGGUGGCCUUGUUUUUCAGCAAACUAACGUACUGAAAUCUGAUGUAACCACAACAGUUGUCACUACUUAUCAAAUAAAUGUUUAAUUAGCAUGUUCUGGAAAAUCUUCUUAUGCACCCUUGGACUUGUGCAUUUUAUUGCAGUGUAGAUGACAUGCUGCAAUGUUAAUCACGGGUGACUUGCCGAGGGUGUCAAGAAUCAAGAAAGGCGACAAGACAAGUGACUUUGGCUUGUUGUUUAUCUCGUGAUAUUGUCAUCAUCUUUUGUGACAUUUGUAUGAACUGUUAUGGACUGCUGAAGUGGUGUUAGCCUGGACUAUCAUGAACUUCUAAUUUUAUUGACUCCAUGAAGUAUUGUUUGUUGUCGAGAUGAUGAUUUAUAUUUUGUAGAAUUCAUAUGCUAUUUGAUGUUUAUCUAGUAUCUUUUGUUUCCCUGAAUAUUCU